UUGCAGGUUUGCACUAUCCACUUUGUUUUGGUAGUUAGCCCGAGUAUUAAAUUCUUGAGGCGUGUAAGGUAGUGGACUUUAGCCAAUUCAAGAGUAGAAUAUAAUAUGUUUACUUGUUUUGAUCUUAAUCUUUAAUCACUUACCCUGAAUAAGAAAUAAUUUUUUAUAUUUGCUCUGCUAUGAUGUUAUUCGGUGUUAAUAGCUUCGUUUUGUUGCUCUUUUCCGCACAGAUUCUUGAUCUCAAAAGAACUUUUAUUUUGAAUAUUCUGCAUCAGGACAAUCUGAUUUAAUACCAUCAGUGAUUUUUCAUUUUUUCUCUUUAGUUUUAAUAUGUUUGAUAACUGUAUGGUUAAGCAAUCUAUGCAAUUUUAUCUUGUCGUAUGUUUGAGCUCAUUUUUUGUUGCAAUUCUGAAUAUUUGGUAUUAAUUAUGUGAUAUCGGACGAUACUAUUAACUUGUUAAUUGCUUAAAUCUAAUAUCUUGUCAAAGUCACUAAUAGCAUUUCAUCAUGCAAUGAGUUAAACAUGGAACAAAUGAUGACAUGCGGUUGUGGAAUGUGGUAGGUCUCUGGGAUUCUAUGUCCUUAUGCUUGCAGGGCAACACAAUACAUUCGUUAAAACAUUGAAGACUGUGAUGUCCGCAGAAAAUUAUAUGUCAACUUAUGCACCAGGCAUGAUGAAAUUAGCCAAAGACAGUGCUUGGAAGUGGCAAGCAAGUGACAAUUUGCUUCUACCAAUGACUUCAGAUCUCAAACCUGUUUCAAGCAAGGCCAGCAAUGACAUCAUGUUCAAAACAGUUUAGCCAGACACCUGUUCGCACCCCUCUACUACAUAUAACCUAGAGGUACAUUUUUUCUUUACAUUCUUUCUAUUCGAUUGGCAUUAGACUUAUCCAGUUCAAUACAGUAUUUCACAAAACUUAUACCAACUUAUUCCUGAUUAUAGUGGACACAAUUAACUUACUUUGGCAAUUGUUCUGAAGAGGCUGACAUCAACUACCAGUGAUGACACUCUCUUGUAAUGUUUUGGUGCUAUCUACUAAAUAUUACUACUACAUAAUAUUGACAAUUCGUCUGUGUGCAGGCCCGUGAUAACCAUUUAGAUCGACCAGAUAAAGGACUUGGACAUCAACAAUUUACCCAGAAACCAAUAAGAUAUUGUAAUCACAAGCAAUCACCCAUCUCUUUGGAUGGUGCUCUAUUGUGAUUCUUUCCUCUAUGACUGUUAAAUAAGCAAUGUAUUGCACUUUUGUUAUGCAAAAGUAUGGCGACCAUGUAUCAACCUGUGUAUCUAUUUUAUACACUAAUUAUGAAUUACUAGAAAUUUUAUUACAUUAAUCAUUUUUAGAUAGCUGCUCAUCUCAAACGAAAUAAACUGUUCAGGGACGCUUGACCCAACAUGCUUGUGACCGACCUUAGAAUAAAUUUUUGUCACUCAAUAUAGACAACUUCUACGAGAUUAAUAUUUUUUCAAAUUUCAACAAAAUCAAUGGCCACAGGAAUACAUACACAUGUUUCCGUUGGCAUGUUAAGUAGACGGGAACAACAUGUGGGCUAUGUACGCCAUUACCUUAAACGAAGCAAAAUUAUCUUGUGUUUAUCAAAGUUUGAAACCAAUUCUGUGCUUACAAAGAAUGUAUGAAUAACGCAUUAUACUCAUACACCAAACUUUAAUCUGAUGGAAUCAAGUAAUUCUGUGUUAAUCAAAGUUUUUAGACUUACAAGAUGAUGGUCAAGUUUAUAUAAAAGCAAAUAACACUGAAAUCUAAUCAUCCUAUACAAACAAAUAUGAUUUAUUCAAUUAUAGCAAACAAUUGUUUUAUCGGAGUUAAUUACAUUAUUGCUAAACUUGUAUAAGCUUUCCUGUUUCAAACAUAUCUACUUAAUUACAUUAUUCAUCGAUAAUGUUACUUUGCCCGUGGAAGUUUCAUUUUUUCAUACCUUAAUCACUAUUUAACGCUUCGUUUUCCAAUAGUUCUAAUUCUUCAAAUUUUGAUUUUAUUCUUCCAUAAUUAUAAAUUGAUACUGAUUCGCAGGACUCAAAUUAAAGUGGUUAAUUACUCUAAAGUAUAAAUCUAGCAGUCAAUAAUUACAUAAAAAUAAUUGCAAAAAAAAAGUUAAUAAGGAAUAGUAUAAAUUUAAAAACUGCCAAAGUUACGAGAUAUAUGCUUGAUAUUUAAAUCAUGGCCAUAAUACUUUCUCACAUUAUAUAUAUAUAUAUAUUAUGUGAUUCAGUUCUUUAAUUAACCACUCUAUGAAUAAAUAUGAGAAUUAAGUACAUAUUAUGCCACAACCUUAUUGAAGUGUUCCCACUACAAUAUUAGUAGUCAACAUUAGGUAUUUAGGUCUAAACACCCACAUAAAUCCAAGGGAUCUAGAUCUACAAAUAUUAACCACUCUAUGAAUAAACAUGGGGAUGAAGUAUAUAAUUGCCACGGCCAUAUUGGAAUGUUUCCACUACCAUAUUCGUGUGUCAACGUUGCGUCUAAACAUUUAUAUACAUCCAAGCAAAUUUAUAUUUGUAAAUAAAUAUAAAAUAUGGAAUGAAAAUCAUCAGUAGAAAAUAUAAAUUACAAACAAUAAACUAAAAAUACAUUUGAGAAAGUAAUUAAAUCCACAAUUUAGAUCCUUGAAUUUCACACUCAUCACCUUAGCUUAAAACAUUAGCCACUCAUAUUAAUAAACAAAGAGUGAUGAUAGAGCCACAAACUCUUGUACAAAUUUAUCUUGUACAAACUGACGUGGCAUUAAUUCAUUGGUUGAAUAAAAAUAUAAAAUAAUAAAAAUAAAUCAUGUGGGUCAAGUGAUAUUUAAUUCAACCAAUCUUAUCAUGCCACAUGAGUUUGUACAAAAUAAAUUUGUACAAGAGUUUGUGGCUCUAUCAUUACUCAUAAACAAAACACUCAUUUUAUUUUAUAAAUUUGUAAAAGUAUAAUACAAGAAAAAUUAAAAUAAAGAAGAAGAGAAAAAAAAAAUCUCUUCUUAUUAACUACACUUCUUCAUAAAAUUCACUCUAAAUUUACACUAAAUUUCUCUAGGAAACUCACCUCUAAAAUUCUACACCCCGAAUUAUCAAAUCUCUUGCCUUUAUAUAGGCAAAUUCUAGGUUGAUCAUGUGUGGGCAUUUAGAUGAUAUUUUUGGUGAACUUGCAACCACAACCCUUAGAUGACCUUUGAUAAUCCAAAUACAAGCCAAGGGGUCCAAAAUUGCAAGUAUUGACAUGCAUAAUAAAACGGUUGAUUCAACAUAAUCAAUGGUUAUAAUGAAGUCAAAUCUGGAUCCUCCGUUGGAAUUUUUUUUUUUUUUAAUUUAAGGUGAUUGAACCACUAAAUUGAUAAGUAUUAAAUCUAGUAUAAAGAAAUGCAUGUGAACUUAGACACACAGCACAAUAUCAUCUUUUCAUAAUUAAUGUUAAAUAAAACGGCUAUCAAUUCUUUUAAAAGUUAAAAUUAUAAUUUUUACCUUUAUUUAGAUAUAUACUUUCUAAUAUUAAUCAUUGAUGACCAAUUUUUUAUUUCAUCGCCGUCUAGAUUGCUUUUAUCUUACACAAAUUUGUUUAAAACCUUGAAAUAGUUUCUAACCACUACAUAAUUUUAUCUGUCGUCCUUAAUAUUGUUAUCCACAACUGACCAACAUAUUGUUACCUACCAUUAUAGUUGUGUAAUUCACCUUUUGUUAACUGACUUCACUAAUAUAUUUUAAAAGAAACGUGGCCAUCUGUUGCUCGUUGGAUCACUUGCUUUUAAAUCCAAUAAUUCCGUGAGAUAAAGACAAAACGCUUGCUAUAGCGCUACAGUUACAACAUAGACGUGGCUGUAGAGGCAAAAAAAAAAAAAUCUAUUUGUUUAGUCACUGUACACUUUUUCAUUCAUUUUGUCCACUUCCAAAUCCUCGAGACAAACAACGCAAAUAAAAAAAGAUUUUAAGAAAUUUGAUGCCUUGUUCGCCGAAUCUCUCCACUUUUAAUUAUUGUCGUGAUCCUGAUCGUGUGAUCUGGUAAUGGUAUGAGUCGGACCAUUAGUAUUCCUCCAAAAUCCUAUUUAAACUCUUUUUAUAUAUAUCUCCUUAUCUUAUAUGUAUAUAAAAUAUAUUCCCUUCACAUAAGAAUCUCACAAUAUUAUUUAUGUGAGAAAAAUAUAUCUUAUAUGUAUUUAAGAUAAGGAUUGUCUUUUAUAUAUUGUGCAAGUAAAAUAAAAUUUUAUAUUGUGUAAGUAAAAUAAAAUUGAGGAGAGAAAGAAAAUAUAAAUUCUUUAAUUUAAUUUAUAUUUAUUUUUAAAUAUAAUUAUAAUAUAAUAAAAAUUUUAUUAGAUUAAUGAAGAGGUGCCAAUAGUCCAACUCAUUAUAUUUUUUAUAAUAAACAAUUGAAAAAUAUGUUUGGACCGAAAUUCACAAUUUUCACCACAUGAUUUAUAGCACACAUAAUUCAUAAUUUUCUCCACACGAUUUAAUACCAACCCUCUUCAUGGACUCCACUUUUGAGAAGGACGUUACCCACCAACACGAGUAACCCAAAAAAAAACCUUCUUUCCCCUUCUGCUUUUAUUCUCAAUCUCUUUGUCACUUUGUUUUUUUUUUCCCUCUCUAUGAUAUUUAAAUGAUUAUAAAUAUUUCUUUGAUUUUAUAAAUUAUUUUCAAUUUUUUUAUUGUUAUUUUUUAAUAAAAUUUUUUAAACUAAAUAAAUUAUUUUAUUUCUACUAAUAAAAUUUUAAAUUUUAAAAUUUUAAAAUUUUAAAAGUAGAGAUUAAGUUUUUUAAGAUAUUAAAAUAUUUAAAAUAUCUUUUAAAUAUUUAACAAUUUUAUUUUUAUUAAAUAAUUUUAAAAUUUUAUUUAUUAAAAUAAUUUUAUAAUUUUUAAUAAAAAAAUUUAUUAAUAAAAAUGUUUUAAAUAAAUUUUAUUUAAAAUUUUAUACCAAAUGAAUCACAAGGCAAAAACACUGCACUUACCUAUCCAUACUGAUUAAACCCCCUCGCCGACACCUCUGCUCUCACCAUCAAGGCAUCAACACUUAAUAAUGACAAUUGGUUGUGUUUGCAUUUUGGUCAAAAUGCUGGACACCCCCCCCCCACCCAAAAAAAAAAAAACAAACAAAAAAAAUUUUAUGAUAAUAAUUAACAUUCAUAAAUAAAAAUAUUAAUAAUGGGUGUGUUAGCAUUUUGGUCAAAAGCCGAUUUGGCCUUCACAUUAAUUGGAAUUUUGGAUCUAUAAUAAGAUUUUCACCGAAAAGAUAAUUUUGCCGCUAAUUAUUAUUUGGGUAGUCAGAAAAUAAUAACAAAAAAAUGUUAUCUCUCACCUAUAACUUGAGGAGAUAAUAAUAAAAGUCUUUCAUCAUACUCUACUGUUAGUUUCUCUUCAUUGUUUUCCCCUUUGAAGUCUUUCAACAAAAAUGGGUGGCAUCAUCUCAACCUUCUUCUCAGCGGACACAAUUCGUCCAAUUUUAUUUUACGUCGGUGGACAAGCAAAGUAUAUAUGGGGUCUUAAAGGUAAUCUCGAUGACUUGCAAACUGAAACGGAGAACUUGAUUGCGAAAAAACAAGAUCUGCUGAAUAAGGUUAGGCUUGCUGAACAAACACAGCCUCGUGGCCAACGGACGAGCACGGUGAAACUCUGGUUCGAAAGGGUGGAUCGAAGUGUAACUCUUGUUGAGGGGCUGCAACAAGAAAGAGAUCAAGAGAUUGACAGAUUGUGUCUUGGAGGCUUCUGUUCCAAGGACUUGAUUUCAAGCUACGACUUCGGCAAAAAGGUGGAGAAGUUGAAGGAAGAAGUAAUCAAAUUGAGGGAAAAAGGAGAAGCGAUGAAAGAAGUUUAUGAGGGGGUACCAGAAGGUGCAGCGGUUGCAAUAGCUGUUGACCGAACAAUUGUUGGUCAAGAAUCAAUACUUGACCAAGUUUGGAGAUGCAUCACUGAUCAAGAAAAGAAUGAGGGAAUUAUUGGCUUAUAUGGUAUGGGGGGCGUCGGCAAAACUACUCUGUUAAACCAAGUCAAUAACAAAUUCUGCGGUGAUGAACAGCAUCAUUUUGAUGUCGUUAUCCGGUCGGUUGUAUCUAGAGAGCCAAACAUGAAGCAGAUUCAAGAGGAUAUUGGGAAAAGGAUAGGCUUCUCAAAAAAUUCAUGGCAGGAUAAAAGUUUUGAAGAAAGGGCUUCAGACAUCACCAACACUUUAAAGCAUAAGAAGUUUGUAUUGUUAUUGGAUGAUAUAUGGGAGUCCGAAAUUGAUUUAACCAAAUUGGGCGUCCCUCUUCAGACACUAGAUUCUGGGUCCAGAAUAGUCUUCACAACUCGUUUUGAGGGUACUUGUAGUAAAAUGGGAGCCCAUAAGAAUCGGUACAAAGUGUUUUGUUUGGGAGAUGACGAUGCCUGGAAAUUAUUUGAGGGGGUGGUCGGGAGAUACGUUCUUAACAAGCAUCCCGACAUUCCGAAGUUAGCCGAGGAUGUGGCACGUCAGUGUCAUGGUUUGCCGCUAGCACUCAAAACAGUAGGUAAUGCCAUGGCGAGCAAAGUGUACCCUGAAGAAUGGAAAGAAGCAAUUGAGAUCCUAAGCGCAUCAGCUUCUAAAUUCGAAGGUAUGGAGAAAAAGGUGCUUUCGAGCUUAAAGUUCAGCUAUGAUAGUUUGCCGAAAGAUGAACUUCGAUCUUGUCUCCUGUACUGUUGUUUAUUUCCCGAAGACUAUGAAAUUGAAAAAACCGACUUGAUGGAGUAUUGGAAAAGUGAAGGAUUUGUGGAUUCCAGCAGCGGGUGGGGGGUUCUUGGUGCUCUCGUUCGGGCAUGCUUAUUGGAGGAAGCAGGUGAUCGUGUAAAAAUGCACGAUAUGAUCCGUGACAUGGCAUUAUGGAUAGCAAAUGAAGUAGAGGAGGAGGAGGAGAACUUUUUGGUUCGUGCAGGAGUUGGAUUAACUGACGCCCUAAAGAUUGAAGAAUGGGAAGGGGUCAAAAGGAUAUCCUUGAUGCAGAACAAAAUUCAAAGUCUACCACAAAUUCCCACUUGUCCGCGUCUCCAGACUUUGCUUCUAAAUCGAAAUCAUAUUGCGAAGAUCACUGACAGUUUCUUUCAAUCUUUGCCUUAGCUUAGAGUUUUGAAUCUAAGUGAAAAUUAUUCCCUGACUGAACUACCUGUGGGGAUUUCAAGUCUGGUUUCAUUACACCAUCUUGAUCUGUCUUCUACUAAAGUACGUGGAUUGCCGCAAGAGCUCAAGGCAUUGGUGAAUCUGAGAUAUUUGAACUUGGAGUAUACAAAUGAAAUGAGGAAAAUUCCACAGCAGCUGAUAUCAAGCUUUUUAAAGUUACAGGUACUCAGGAUGCUGUGUUGCGGUCAAAGUCACCAGCCAAUAGUGGAAGAAGGCAACGUUCUAUCUGAUGAUGCUGAAUCAUUGAUGAAGGAAAUCCACUGUUUGGAACAAUUAAAUAUCAUCACCUUGUCCUUACGUGGUUCGCGUGGUGUUGAAAACUUUCUGAAAUUCCCAAAGCUGCAGAAUAUCACUCAAGCUCUGCACAUCAAAGACUGCAACAGUCUACCGCUCAAUUUGUUGCAUCUAGCAAACAUGGAGCAUCUUGAGGAGUUAGAUAUCGAGGAUAGUAAUUUGGAAGACUGGAAUGUCGACUGCGCGGGAGAGGUACAAAAAAUGCGUAAACUUCACUCGGUUGUCAUACGGAAUUGCUCAAAUGUGAAGGACUUGACGUGGCUUGUUUUUGUUCCAAAUCUCAAGUGGCUGCAAAUAUUUCAUUGUGAUGACAUGGAAGAAAUAAUCAGUGUUGAAAAAUUGAGUGAAGUUUCAGAGAUGAUGGGAGAGCUUAACUUGUUCGCAAAACUCGAACUUCUGAUAAUAAAAAAUGCAAGUAACUUGGAGCGCAUCUACCGCGAUCCCUUGCCCUUUCCACAGCUGGAGACAAUUUCCAUAUCGCUAUGCCCAAAGUUGAAGAAGCUCCCGCUCAAUUCCAGCAGCGCAAAGGGACGUAAAAUUGCCAUUUACGGGGAGAGAAAAUGGUGGGAAGAGCUACAAUGGGAGGAUCAAGCCACUCAAAAUGCUUUCUCGCCCUGUUUCCUACCUUUAAGAAUAAUGAAGGGCAAUAAGGAGCAAGAGUGUGAAUAAAAUUGCUGCGUGUGCUUAAUAAUUUUUUGGUUGCCAAUGAGAUUUUUUAUUAAAAUUUAUAGAAUUACUUUAAUAGGUAAAUUUCUUAAAGUUAUGUUAUGAAAUGAAUAAAAUAAAAUUGUGAAAUAUAUAAAGCAUAUUUUAGACAAUAUAAUAUUUUAACCUCUACUCCACAAAAUUUAAAAUUUAAACUUUUAUUAGUAUAGAUAAAAUAACUUAUUUAAUUUUUUAAAAAUUUUACUCAAAUUAUAAUUAAAUAAUAUUAAGUUUAAAAAAAAGUUAAAAAAUUAAAUAAAUAUAUUUGACUGAACAUACACUAACUUGAACUCUUGAAAAAUAAAUAUUUCGUGCCACAUCGGUAGGGUCCAAUUAUGUUGUAACUAAGGUAUUAUACCACAGUUCCUCUUUUUUUUCCCGUAUUAUUAGAUAAUUGAUGCAAAUUAAGCAAAGUUGUUGGGUGCUUCUCGUUCAAUCUAGCGGCUGAAAUUAAUUAUUGGAUAAUUGAUGCAGCGACUAGCAACCGCUGCAGCCGGUGUAUAUUAAUUUAAUAGCAGUUCAACGAGUGUGGGUUUCGAAAAUUUCUUAGUGCUAAUUAGAGUUUCACUGAUUUCAUCUGAAAAUUGAUCUCGAGACAGCAAUUAAGACAUAAAAUUAGAAUUAGAGGGUCGCAGUUUUUUUGGGAAUUAAAAUUUCCCGAUGAUUCAUACAUGAAUAUGGCCUCUCACUUGUAGGGAAUUGACGGUGAAAUUAUAAUCGUCACAGCAGAAUGCAAUCGAAAGUUACGGUGCUAAAAGUUUAGGCAUAUAUCAAAUUAGAGUGAAUCUCACGUCACUUUGAUUUGGUCUUGUGCCGAUCGAAUCACCUGAUGCAGUAUGUAAUUCCUUAUUAAAACUCGCAAUUUUUUAUUUUGAAAAGAUUUAAAACUUGUAAUUUCAUUACAGAAAUGAGGCGGGGGCUCACAAACAGAAAGCUAGCGAUUUAAAGAGUCGCGAUCAAGCUUUAGAAGCCGAUGGUAACAUAGUUAGAACAAUAGAAUCUGAUAGCCAUUAGGGAUUCAUAAGCUACUUGUAAGUAUUUGUACUCCCUGACUAAAUAAUUUGGGAAUAUAAGGAUGCAAUAAGAGUUGAGUGGUCUUUAUUCCCAUAGCAUUAUUUUUUUCUCGCUUCAUCCGUGCUCUAUUCAAUCUUUAUGUGCCGCUUGUGUUAUGUUCCUGCAUAUCUAAUUACCUUUAGCUGCUUGUGUUAUGUUUACUUGUUUUGAUCUUAAUCUUUAAUCACUUAGCCUGAAUAAGAAAUAAUUUUUUAUAUUUGCUCUGCAAUGAUGUUAUUCGGUGUUAAUAGCUUCGUUUUGUUACUCUUUUCCGCACAGAUUCUUGAUCUCAACAGAACUUUUAUUUUGAAUAUUCUGCAUAAGGACAAUCUCAUUUAAUACCAUCAGUGAUUUUUCAUUUUUUUUCUCUUUAGUUUUAAUAUGUUUGAUAACUGUAUGGCUAAGCAAUCUAUGCAAUUUUAUCUUGUCGUAUGUUUGAGCUCAUUUUUUGUUGCAAUUCUGAAUAUUUGGUAUGAAUUAUGUGAUACCGGACAAUACUGUUAACUUGUUCAUUUCUUAAUUUUAAUAUCUUGUCAAAGUCACUAAUAGCAUUUCAUCAUGCUAUGAGUUAAACAUGGAACAAAUGACGACAUGCAGUUGUGGAAUGUGGUAGAUCUCUGGAAUUCUAUGUCCUUAUGCUUGUAGGGCAACACAAUACAUUAGUUAAAACAUUAAAGACUAUGAUGUCCGCAGAAAAUUAUAUGUCAACAUAUGCACCAGGCAUGAUGAAAUUAGCCAAAGACAGUGCUUGGAAACAAUUAACUAACUUUUGGCAUUAGGCGUAUCAAGUUCAAUUCGGUAUUUCACAAAACUUAAACUAACUUAUUCCUAAUUAUAGUGGACACAAUUAACUAACUUUGGCAACUGUUCUGAAGAGGAUGACUUCUUCAGGAUGACAUCAACUACCAGCGAUGAUACUAUCAGUAAGCUGCUUCUGCUAUCUAUUAAAUAUUACUGCUAAACGUAAUAUUGACAAUUUGUCUGUGUGCAGGCCUGUGAUAACCACUUGGAUCGGAUAAAGGACUGGGACAUCAACAAUUUGCCCAGAAACCAAUAAGAUAUCAUUGUAAUGUUUAAUUAUACAUGUAUUAGUUUCUCUUUGGAUGGUGCUCUUUGUUAUGCAAAAGUAUGGCGACUAUGUUUCAACCAGUGUAUCUAUUAUAUACACUAACUAUGAAUUACUAGAAAUUUUAUUACAUUAAUCAUUUUUAGAUAGCCACUCAUCUCAAACGAAACAAACUGGUCAGAGACACUUGACCCAACAUGCUUGUGAUCGACCUUAGAAUAAAUUUUUCUCACUCAAUAUAGACAACUUCUGUGAGGUUAAUAUUUCUUCAAAUGUCAAGAAAAGCAUUGGCCACAUGAAUGCAUACACAUGUUUUUGUUGGGAAGUUAAGCAGACGGGAACAACAUUGGGCUAUAUACACCAUUACCUUAAAUGAAGCAAAAAUAUCUUGUGCUUAUCAAAGUUUGAAACUAAUUCUGUGCUUAUCAAGAAUCUAUUAAUAACACAUUAUACUCAUACACCAAACUUUAAUCUGAAUGAAUCAAGUAAUUCUAUGUUAAUCAAAGUUUUUAGACUUAUACGAUGAGGGUCUAGUUUAUAAAAAUGCAAAUAUCACUGAAAUCUGAUAAUCCUUUACAAACAAAUAUGAUUUAUUCAAUUAUCGCAAACAAUUAUUUUAUCAAAGUUAAUUACAUUAUUGCUAAACUUGUAUAAGCUUUCCUGUUUCAAACAUAUCUACUUAAUUACAUUAUUCAUCGACAGUGUUACUUUGCUUGUAGAAGUUUCAUUUUUUCAUACCUUAAUCACUAUUUAACGCUUCGUUUUCCAAUAGUUAUAAUUCUUCAAAUUUUGGUUUUAUCCUUCCAUAAUUAUAAAUUGAUACUGAUUCGCACGACUCAAAAAAAAGUGGUCAAUUACUCUAAAAGUAUAAAUCUGGCAAUCAAUAAUUACUUAAAAAUAAUUGCAAAAAAAAAUUAAUAAGGAAUAGUAUAAAUUUAAAAACCGCUAAAGUUACGAGAUCCAUGCUUGAUAUUUAAAUCAUGGUCAUAAUACUCUCUCACACACACACAUAUAUAUGUAACCACUUUUAAUAUUAUGUGACUUAGUUCUUAAUUAACCACUCUAUAAAUAAAUAUGAGAAUUAAGUACAUAUUAUGCCACAACUUUAUUGGAGUGUUCCCACUACCAUAUUAGUAGUCAACAUUAAGUCUAAACAUCCACAUAAUAUUUUUGGUGAACUUGCAACCACAACCUUUAAAUGACCUUUGAUAAUACAAAUACAAUCCAAGGGGUCCAAAAUUGCAAGUAUUGUCAUGCAUAAUAAAACAGUUCAUUCAACAUAAUCAAUGGCUAUAAAGAAGUCAAAUCGGGAUCCUCCAUUGGAUUUUUUUUUUUAAUUAUUCAAGGUGGUUGAAUCACUAUAUUGAUAAGUAUUAAAUUUACUUAAUUUAGUAUAAAGAGGACACACAUCAACUUUUCAGAAUUAAUGUUAGAUAAAACGGCUACCAAUAUUUUUGUAAAAAUUAAAAUUAAAAUUUUUACUUUUAUUUAAUAUAUACUUUCUAGUAUUAAUCAUUGAUGAACAAUUUUUUAUUUCAUCGCCGUCUAGAUUGCUUUUAUCUUAUACAAAUUUGUUUAAAACGUUUAAAUAGUUUCUAACCACUAUAUAGUUUUAUAUGUCCUUAAUCUUGUUAUCGACAACUGACCAACAUAUUGUUACCUACCAUUAUAGUUGUGUAAUUUACCUUUUGUUAACUGACUUCACCAAUAUAUUUUAAAAGAAACGUGGCCAUCUGUUGCUCGUUGGAUCACUUGCUUUUAAAUCCAAUAAUUCCAUGAGAUAAAGACAAAACGCAUGCUAUAAUGCUACGGUUACAACAUAGACGUGGCCGGAGAGGUAAAAAAAAAAAAAAAUGUAUUUGUUUAGUAACUGUACACUUUUUCAUUCAUUUUGUCCACUUCCAAAUCCUCCAGAGAAACAACGCAAAUAAAAAAGAUAUUUAAGAAAUUUGAUGCCUUGUUCGCCGAAUCUCUCCAUUUUUAAAUAGUGUCGUGAUCCUGAACAUGUGAUAUGGCGCCUAUGUUACAUUUGAGUCGGACCAUUAGCAUUCCUCCAAAAUCUUAUUCAAAUUCUUUUUUUAAUUAUAUUUUAUUUAAUAUUAAAAAUAUUUUUUUUUACUCUUUCAGUCUUAAUAUUUAUAUUUUUCUCUUUAAUUUUUUUAUUAUUUAAUUUUUAAAGAAAAUAUCUAAAAAAAGUAAGAAAAACAUUAUAUUUAAAAAAUAAUGAAUAUUUUAUGGAUUUAAUACAAUUUUAUCCUACUUAUAAAUUUUGAGUUUAUUGGGUUCAACAAUUAGUUUGAGAAUCCUUAAAAAAUUAGUUGCAUUAUUUAAUUUGUUUUUACCCUAUGUUGUAUCUUAAUUAAAUUAUUAUAUUUAUUACAAGAAUUUUAUUUUGGCUUAGAGGAUUACUUCUUAAAUUCAAAUUAUUUUAAUGAUAACAAAAAAUUUAUAUUGUGCAAGCAAAAUAAAAUUGAGAAGAGAAAGAAAAUAUAAAUGGUUUAAUUCUAUUUAUAUUUAUCCUUAAAAUAUAAUUGUAAUGUAAAAAGAAUUUUAUGAGAUUAAUGAAGGGGUGCCGAUAGUCGAACUCAUUAUAAUUUUUGUAACAAACAAUUCAAGAAUAUGUUUGGACCGAAAUUCACAAUUUUCACCACAUGAUUUAAAGCACACAUAAUUCAUAAUUUUCUCCACAUAAUUUAAAACCAACCCUCUUUCUGGACUCCACUUUUGAGAAGGACGUUACCCACCAAUACGAGUAACCAAAAAAAAAAAAAAAAGGAACCCUCUUUCCCCCUCUGCUUUUAUUCUCAAUCUCUUUGUCACUUUGUUUUUUUUUUUCCUCCUCUCUCCAUGAUAUUUAAAUGAUUGUAAAUAUUUCUUUCAUUUUAUAAAUUAUUUUCAAAUUUUUUAUUGUACUUAGUUAUUUUUUAAUAAAAUUUUUAAAAUUAAAUAAAUUAUUUUAUUUCUACUAAUAAAAUUUUAAAUUUUUAAAAGUAGAGAUUAAAUUUUUUACGAUAUUAAAAUAUUUAAAAUAUCUUUUAGAUAUUUAACAAUUUUAUUUUUAUUAAAUAAUUUUAAAAUUUUAUUUAUUAAAAUAAUUUUAUAAUUUUUAAUAAAAAAAUUUAUUAAUAAAAAUGUUUUAAAUAAAUUUUAUUUAAAAUUUUAUACCAAAUGAAUCAUAAGGCAAAAACACUGCACUUACCUAUCCAUACUGAUUAAACCCCCUCGCCGACACCUCUGCUCUCACCAUCAAGCAUCAACACUUAAUAAUGACAAUUAUUUGUGUUAGCAUUUUGGUCAAAAGUUGGACCCCCCCCCCCCCCCCAAAAAAAAAAAACAAAAAAUUUUUAUGAUAAUAAUUAACAAUCAUAAAUAAAAAUUAGGGAAAAUGACAUUCAACCCACAACGUUUAAGAAAAUGGAUAAAAAAAUCCUCUUCAACGUUUUAAAAAGGAUUUAUAAUCCCCUUUCAGUUAAUAAAUACCGUUUGUUUUAACAAUAAAUAUAUUUUUAAUUUUUAAUUUUUAAUUAUUAUUAUACUCUUAUAAUAAAUAAAUUAAUAUAUUAAUUUGAGAUAUAUCACAAUUAACAAAUGUCAUCUAGCUAGCGUGGGUUGGAAUCGUUCUUUUAAGUUUUGACCAAAUCAAUAAAGUAUGGUUUAAAAAAAAAAACUCUCGAUUCUUUAAUCAAAUGUGCAAUAAAUAUUAACUAAUUCACUAGCACUCAUCUCAAACCAAAAUAAACUAAUAAAAAAAUCAUUAAUUUUCAGCACCAAAACGAAGUAUCAUGACAAACAAGAAACAACUCAGCCACCUACAUACCCAAAACCCCAAAAAUCCAAAACUUAUACACCAAGAAGCCCAAAAAAAAGCCGUAUAAUUCUGGUUCAAUAUUUGAACAUAGAUUCUUUUCAUGAUAAUGAAAUCAUUUAUAUUUAUUUUUAUAAUAAAAAAUUACAAAAAGAUAAAAAAGAAAAUUAGCAACUGCACUACGAUGAACAUGGAUACUAACCAAAACUUCUUCCAAAGAACAUGUUAACCUUUAUCUCUCACUAUAAGUGUCGCCGUCAAGUCAAUCUAGUGUAAUGGUUUUGAUUCCUCAAAGAAAAAGGGUUUAAUCAAAUUUCGUUUUAUUAGUAAUAAUCACAUAUGAAAUGUUUGAUCAUUAGAAAGGUAUAAUUUAUAGCAAAUAAUUUGGGCAAAAAUAUAAUUGUAUCUCAAUUUUUAAUUUUAAAAAAAUUAUUAAUUGUGACAUGUCUCAAAUCAAUAUAUUAAUUUAUAUUUAUUAUAAAGGUAUAAUAGUAAUUAAAAAUUAAAAAUAAAUUUACUAUUAAAAUAAACGGUGUUUGUUAACGAAAAAGAAAUUAUAAGUUUUUUUUUAAAACGUUGAGAAGUUUUUUAUCUCUUUUUUUAAAAGUUGCCUUUUCCCUAAAAAUUAAUAAUGGGUGUGUUAGCAUUUUGGUCAAAAGCCGAUUUGGCCUUCACAUUAAUUGGAAUUUUGGAUCUAUAAUAUGAUUUUCACCGAAAAGAUAAUUUUGCCGCUAAUUAUUUGGGUAGUCAGAUAAUAAUAAUAAUAAAAUGUUAGUUUCUCUUCUUCAUUUUUUUUCCCCUUUGAAGUCUUUCAACAAAAAUGGGUGGCAUCAUCUCAACCUUCUUCUCAGCGGACACAAUUCGUCCAAUUUUAUUUUACGUCGGUGGACAAGCAAAGAAUAUAUGGGGUCUUAAAGGUAAUCUCGAUGACUUGCAAACUGAAACGGAGAACUUGAUUGCGAAAAAACAAGAUCUGCUGAAUAAGGUUAGGCUUGCUGAACAAACACAGCCUCGUGGCCAACGGACGAGCACGGUGAAACUCUGGUUCGAAAGGGUGGAUCGAAGUGUAACUCUUGUUGAGGGGCUGCAACAAGAAAGAGAUCAAGAGAUUGACAGAUUGUGUCUUGGAGGCUUCUGUUCCAAGGACUUGAUUUCAAGCUACGACUUCGGCAAAAAGGUGGAGAAGUUGAAGGAAGAAGUAAUCAAAUUGAGAGAAAAAGGAGAAGCGAUGAAAGAAGUUUAUGAGGGGGUACCGGAAGGUGCAGCGGUUGCAAUAGCUGUUGACCGAACAAUUGUUGGUCAAGAAUCAAUACUUGACCAAGUUUGGAGAUGCAUCACUGAUCAAAAAAAGAAUAAUGGAAUUAUUGGCUUAUAUGGUAUGGGGGGCAUUGGCAAAACUACUCUGUUAAAACAAGUCAAUAACAAAUUCUGCAGUGAGGAGCAUGAUUUUGAUGUCGUUAUCUGGUCGGUUGUAUCUAGAGAGCCAAACUUGAAUCAGAUUCAAGAGGAUAUUGGCAAAAGGAUAGGCUUCUCAACAGAUUCAUGGGAGAGAAAAAGUUUUGAAGAAAGGGCUUCAGACAUCACCAAUACUUUAAAGCAUAAGAAGUUUCUAUUGUUAUUGGAUGAUAUAUGGGAGUCCGAAAUUGAUUUAACCAAAUUGGGCGUCCCUCUUCAGACACUAGAUUCUGGGUCCAGAAUAGUCUUCACAACUCGUUUUGAGGGUACUUGUGGUAAAAUGGGAGCCCAUAAGAAUCGGUACAAAGUGUUUUGUUUGGGAGAUGAGGAUGCCUGGAAAUUAUUUGAGGGGGUGGUCGGGAGAUACGUUCUUAACAAGCAUCCCGACAUUCCGAAGUUAGCUGAGGAUGUGGCACGUCAGUGUCAUGGUUUGCCGCUAGCACUCAAAACAGUAGGUAAUGCCAUGGCGAGCAAAGAGUACCCUGAAGAAUGGAAAGAAGCAAUUGAGAUCCUAAGCGAAUCAGCUUCUAAAUUCGAAGGUAUGGAGAAAAAGGUGCUUUCGAGCUUAAAGUUCAGCUAUGACAGUUUGCCGAAAGAUGAACUUCGAUCUUGUCUCCUGUACUAUUGUUUAUUUCCCGAAGACUCUGAAAUUGAAAAAACCGAGUUGAUAGAGUAUUGGAAAAGUGAAGGAUUUGUGGAUUCCAGCAGCGGGUGGGGGGUUCUUGGUGCUCUCGUUCGGGCAUGCUUAUUGGAGGAAGCAGGUGAUCGUGUAAAAAUGCACGAUAUGAUCCGUGACAUGGCAUUAUGGAUAGCAAAUGAAGUAGAGGAGGAGGAGGAGAACUUUUUGGUUCGUGCAGGAGUUGGAUUAACUGACGCCCCAAAGAUUGAAGAAUGGGAAGGGAUCAAAAGGAUAUCCUUGAUGAGGAACAAAAUUCGAAGUCUACCACAAAUUCCCACUUGUCCGCGUCUGCAAACAUUGCUUCUGGCGAGUAAUCGUAUUAAGGAGAUCACUGAGAGUUUCUUUCAAUCUUUGCCUUUGCUUAGAGUUUUGAAUCUAAGUGAAAAUCAUUACCUAACUGAACUACCUGUAGGGAUUUCAAGAUUGGUUUCAUUACACCAUCUUGAUCUGUCUUUUACUGAAGUGCGUGGGUUGCCGCAAGAGCUCAAGGCAUUGGUGAAUCUGAGAUAUUUGAACUUGGAGUAUACAAGUGAAAUGUCUAGAAUUCCAGAGCAAUUAAUAUCAAGCUUUUCGAAGUUACAGGUACUCAGGAUGCUGUAUUGCGGUCCACGUCUCCAGCCAAUAGUGGAAGAAGGCAACGUUCUAUCUGCUGAUGCUGAAUCAUUGAUGAAGGAAAUCCACUGUUUGGAACAAUUAAAUCUCAUCACCUUGUCCUUACAUGGUUCGCGUGGUGUUGAAAACUUUCUGAAAUUCCCAAAGCUGCAGAAUAUCACUCAAGCUCUGCACAUCGAAGACUGCAACAGUCUACCGCUCAAUUUGUUGCAUCUAGCAAACAUGGAGCAUCUUGAGAAGUUAUUUAUCGAGGAUAGUAAUUUGGAAGACUGGAAUGUCGACUGCGCGGGAGAGGUACAAAAAAUGCGUAAACUUCACUUUGUUUCAAUAUACGAAUGCUCAAAUGUGAAGGACUUAACGUGGCUUGUUUUUGUUCCAAAUCUCAAGUGGCUGCGAAUAUUUGAUUGUGAUGACAUGGAAGAAAUAAUCAGUGUUGAAAAUUUUGAAAAAUUGAGUGAAGUUUCAGAGAUGAUGGGAGAGCUUAACUUGUUCUCGGAACUCGAAUCUCUGAAUCUAGGAUAUGCAAGUAAUUUGAAGCGCAUCUACCGCGAUCCCUUGCCCUUUCCACAGCUGGAGCAAAUUUACAUAUCGAAAUGCCCAAAGUUGAAGAAGCUCCCGCUCAAUUCCAGCAGCGCAAAGGGACGUAAAAUUGUCAUUUACGGGGAGAAAGAAUGGUGGGAAGAGCUACAAUGGGAGGAUCAAGCCACUCAAAGUGCUUUCUCUCCCUGUUUGGCUGUUUCGUGCCUUCAUGAAUAAUAAAGUGCAAUAAGGCGCAAAAGUGUGAAUAAAGUUUCUGCGUGUGCUUAAUGAUUAUCUUGUCUAUCCAUUUCAUUUAAUUUAAAAGCUUUCUACGGUGUUGCGUGUGUGUCACUUGUCAUUCUUCUGCACUGCUGUUUCCUAUUUCCAGUUAAUAAAAUUUUUUUGUUCUUAGAAAUGCUUUGCUGGUAAUAUAUUCUAUUUACUUUCCUCCUAUUUUCAUUACAGCUAAUAAUUGCAUAGUUGUAUAAUUUUUUAAUAUUAUCUUUAUUUUUAAAUAUACUUUUAUUUAUAUUUAUUAUAAAUUAAAUAAAUGUAUGAAUAGAAAUUAAAAUGAAAACUAAGUAUUAAAACAAGAAAUAUAUAUUUUGAUUUGAAUAAAAAUAUAAAUAUUUGUUUGUACUUUUUUAUAUAUAUAUUCAAUAUAAGAAAAUAUUUAUAAAAUAAAAAGUGUAAGAAAAAUAUCUUAUUAUUAAUUCUUAUUCACAUCAAAACAUAUAUUUCUUACUUUAAAUACUUAAUUUUUUAUUCAAAUUAUCAUUCAUAUGAUUUAUUUAAUUUAUAAUACAUAUAAAUAAAAAUAAUAUUGUAAAUUAUGUUGUUAGAAAUUAUUAGUUAUUAUAAAAAUAAUAUGGGACAAAUGGUAAAUCGGAGAUAUUGUUUCCUAUUUUCAGCUAAAAAAUUUAUUUGUUCUAAUAAUUGCUUUGCUAGUAAUAAGGCCUGCAAGUUGCUUAACUGAAUAUGACUUCUUUUUUAAAAAUGUUACUAUCAAUUUCGAUGAUUGAUUAUCUCGAAGUAGUGAAAUUUAUGUAAUGUUGGUAUUAAAAAAAUUUGUGCUACUGAUAAAAAAAGUCCAUUGGAUUCGGCCUAAAUGACGGAUCGUGGCUUGAUUUUCUCAUCCCAAAGGCUCUGUAUCUCACUUUCGAAAGUAGUUUUAGCAUAAUGUAGGUGAAAAAUUAAAAUAUUCUGCGAUCUCUAUAUAGCUUUUCCAACAGAUUUCACCCAUUUGACUGUAGACCAAAGCAUCCAUUGGAUCGAUGCAUUUAUUAAGAAGAGGAUCAUUCGGAGCUACAAUUGGAGGAUCGAGUCACGCAAAGAGUUUUCUCUACUUGUUUCGAUCCUAUGGAGAUAGAGUUUUCAUAGAUUGAUGGUAGGAGCUUUUUUGUCAAUUUAUGUAUCUAAUUGUGUGUAACAUGCUUUCUUGUCUUUCAUAUCAGACAUUGUAAAUUUGUAAUGUUGCCAUUUUCUUUUUCCUAUCAAGAAAGAAAGAGCAUUGCGAGUAGUCUUUCCAAUUUUCACUCCUUUUUGGUAUGUGAAGAAAAAUAAUAAAGCAAAACAAACUAGUGUUGAAGAAAAAGAAAAUGACAAGUUCAAUAGGGCAAAAGUUCACCAUCCCUUUACCAUUUGCUCAAGCAAGUAAGCUUUACGUUUACUUCUUGAGAUUUGAACUAACCAGACAACUUGUAAUGUUACCAUAAAGUUCAAAGAUUAGAAGAGAAAAACUUAUGUCUGUUAGGCACUAUUAUUCAGGCUUAAAUAAUAACAAUAAAAUACUACACCAUGUCUGCUCUCUUUUACUUUUCUUGGUUCUGUUGUAAAAUUCAGUUCUAUUUGAAGGAAAUUAUUAACAUCAAAACUAAAUACUUCGUGAGCAUCUACUGACAACAUACUCCAGAUGACACCAUAACCAUAUCAUAUAAAGCAAGAAAUGUGAAAUAAAUACAAAAUGAAUCAUAGGAGGGAAUUACCACACUCUGCGGUCUCUCCUGCUAAACCCUGCAGUUAGAAUGCCAUUUGUCGUGAGCACCUGAAUCCCCAAAGGACUCCCAGCUUCAAGUGGCUUUGACUUAGCUUGCUUUAGCUCCAUUGCACAUACUCACUCACAUGAAGGAAAUGAACAGAACAAGAAACCUCAUCAUGCCGAAUAUGAUAGAUAUGACAAGGCAUUACACUGUAGGAAGCUCCCGAUUUCUCUACAAAACUCUGCAGGUUCUCCACAAUCAAGGCGUGCUCCAUCUUUAACAGAUCACUUCUACCAUUAAGAGAAGGAAGAGAGUUCCUCUCGUGUGGCAGUAAAUCCUUACUUAACACAGGAUUGAAGCCAACCAAGAACGGAAGGCAAUUUCGUUAGAUUAAGAACCGAAUCACCAUCCAAUAUAGUAGCAUUUGAACCAGAACUCUUGUUAAAUUCUUGAAAUCUCCUGCUUUCAUCAGUCUGUAAGAGAAAUGAAGAUGAGAAUAAUAGCCAGAACCGGAUUAAAUUCAAUCUGGUCUUUUGAAGACUUCUAUAACAACUAAGAGAACCCAGUGUACCGCCUACAGAUACUGUCAGGCUUCUAUCAAAUAUCCCAAACACCAAAAACCAACCCAAUUAAGCUAACAAACCUGCAUGAAUAUCUAAAUUUCAAUGCACGUGAAACAAACUCCGUGUUCAAUCCACCAAAACUAGCAAAUUUCAAACUUUAUCACUCAUCAUUCUCUCUCUGUCAGCUGUAUGAGGCUAUGAGAUCAUGUUAUAAUGUUCAUAUUGAUGCUGAAUGUUUUGCCAGCUUGUCUGAAUUCCAUAAGAGAAUGCAAUGUGCACAUUAUUGUGCCUUGCCCACCAUUAGAUUCUAAACCACAAAAUCAUUGUGUGAAGUAGCUGACGUUUCGCACAUUCUUAUCCCUUAUCAUCAAUAUUCUUCUCCUCAAGCUUAGAUCAUGGAAAUUUGAGUGACAAACAUGAUAACAUGGUAACACCAUCUAAACUUUAGGGGCAUAAAGUAACAUAGAAGCAACAUGGGAUGUUUUAAAAUCUAUUAUAAUUUGCUUAGGCCCCUGAAUAAAAUUAAAACUUGUAAUGAAAUAAAGUAGCAAAAUAAAGAUUGGAGGUCGCAUGCUUGAUAUUUGAUGCUGUCAAAAUUAAUUUGCAGUGCUGAAAUUGCUGCUCCAAUAAAUUUUUCAAUGGGAUUUCUAUAUUUACAACAAAUUUUCAGUAUUGAAACAGGAUUAAAAUCAUAAAGUAUCUUUUAAACAGCAGAGGCAACAAGAUCCUACAGAAAAAGAAGGCAAAAAGUAGUUACAAGCUACAGAAACGCAAAUAUUCUACUGGCCAACUCCCACUAAAUUCGAAGCAAUUCUAAAAUCUCAGCUUGUACUACGACAUCAUUCCUUCUAUGUGGCCCAACUGUACUUCACCCAGAAAUCACAUUUCUUCAUCAGAGAUAAUUUUACUUCUAAUAAGAGAGAAUUUUUUAUAUGCAUGGCUUUACAGUAAUGAAUAAUUUUCCUUAAAUCUUUUCUAACAGACAAGAAAGCACAAAGCACAAAAAUUGAUAUAAACAACUUUUCUCGAAGCUUUUUCAUAAGAAAACCUGAACAUGAUUGCUUCUCUUAGAAGGCCCCCUAGCUUCCUGCAAGAACCUUGUGCCCCCAAAAAAAACAAAGGAUUAUAAUUAGGCAUAAGGCUCCCAAUGUUCUUGCAGGAAUUAUGAUGAAUAUGAGAGUUUCAAAAAAGAAAAAAAAAUAUUACGACAACCUCUAGGCGGAGGAAAUCAGUUUUCUAGGAAUUCGUUAGAUUGGUGAAGUUAUAGAACCGCAGCAAUUUGCUGUAGUUUGGAAUGUUUUUGCCUUUCAUUAUAGCAUUUGAAAAGGCUCAAGGAUAUAGAAGAACCUUGGCUACAAAUUCAGGGAAGAUUUCACUUAUAAUGAGAAAUAAUCACCAUUAUUAUAUACAAUGAGAAAACAGUUAUGGAAGAAAUAGAAAGAAUUACCCGAAACGGAGGAUUUGGAAGACAAUGAGACAAAAGUAUAAAGAAGAAGAAAUUGGAGAUAUAAUGACUGCCUAUUUCUUUGAUGAACCCAUCAAAAACGGCUUGAAAAUUAAAGAAAUUGUAAAAUGCUGUAACGGAGGAAUUGAAACUGUAAAAGAUGCAAGUUAAUUCAUGGGGCUGGCCAUCUUGAUUGAUUGAACACCUAUUAGAUUUUUAAUAUUAAAGAACUCACUUUAAUGAUGUUUAAUUGGUAGUAGCCCUUUAUAGUCUUUAAACCUUUAGCAGUGCAAAGUCACAAGCUUUGUCCAGAAUCUAAGGGCGUAAGUUAUAGGCGAUGGGUGCCAUCACCUGGGCAACGACGUACAUCGCUUGGGCGACAAGCCAAUUUACUAGGCUCAUCGCAAACAGCCUUCGUCGCCUGGGCGAUGGCCAAAUCCAUCCAAUAAACUUUCAGCUCAUGUUUGAUAGUCUAAAAAAAGUAGUUAUGGUGGCCAUCACACAUCACAUUUUACUGACAAGCUGUCUUAAUUUUCAUAGAAAAUUGUUCCUACUGAUUUUCCAAUACUGGCCUAAUACUUGCAGAUUAUUAAACGAUUAUGGAAUGGCGGCGAUUUUAGACCAGUAAUUUUGUCAAUAAUUGCUAAUUCGCAAUCCCUUUACAAAUCUAAUAAUCUACUGCAUACACGCUCUUGAUGACUUGGAUUCUCAAAAAAUAACCAUUUUACGCCGCUGAAGCGCAGAAAAAUCAAUUGUUUUAUCCACUUCCAAAUAAAACUUAUUCUAGUAAAUGCGAUAAAGAAAUGUUUAUUUCAAUUUCCAACCCAGAUCUCAUAAAGAAUUUCUCACUCAAAUAAACAAAUAAAUAUCAUCUGGUAAUGGUAUGACAUUUAUUUUGAAGUAAACACUGGCCCACUAUUUUCUCAAUUUUCCAUUGUUUGAGGACACCAUUUUCUCAAUUGAAGAACAUGUUCUGGCCAAAAUUCACAAUUUUCUCCACGUGAUUUAAAGCACACAGGAUUCACACUUUUCUCCACGUGAUUUAAAAGCACACAGAAUUCUCCUGACCUUAAUUACGGAUCUUAUUAUGUUUAUUGAAAUCCAAUAUUGUAGACUCAUUGUUGUAGCUAGAAAAUCAUAUUAAUAGAGUAAAAUUUAUAAAUAAUCAAAGAAAAGAGUUCACGCUCUUACUUCAUUACUUUUAUAAUCUUAUUAGUAUAUCUACUUACAUGUCUUCAGAAAAUACAGUUUUAAGAGGAUAUUUUUAUUUUUCUUCGUAAUAAUAGAUUUAAUUUUCAUCUUUCUAAUGUUAAGUUGCAUAUUUGGAGUAAAUAAUAUUAAAUUUCAAAUUAGAUCACAGACCCCAUUUUAAUAGAUUCAAUUGGAUUUUGGACAUCUAAUUAAACAACUGGACUAAUAAAUUGCAAAUGAAUGAGAUUUAUAUGUGAUUUUAAAAUAAAAUUUGAACUCAAAUCUAUGUAUUUAAUUAAUCCAACAGGACAAAUUUAUAAUUUUCACCAACUAAAUAAAAUAUGUUAUCAGAAACUUUUGGACCAAGUCGCGCACUUCGUGGGUCUGCUACUACUUAUAGUCCAUUCUCAUUCAACUUUCACAUCUUUUAUAUUAUGUACAAAUUGGAUUAUAUUCUAAAACAGUGUUUCUAAUUGUUUAACGUUUUAUUUCUGGGUAUAUUUAGAGAUUAAAAAAUAUGGGAAACAUAAUUAAUUUUAUCAAAUAAAAAGGAGUAUUGUUCAUUUUUUCAUAAACAAUGUGUUAAAAUACUUUUGGUAUUUAAGAAGUAAAAAUUUUUAUUUUUGUUUCAUAAAAAAGCAUUCAAAAUUAUAUUAAAUAAAAUUAAAGAUUAACAAAACUGACAUCUGAAUUUCGUGCAAAUUAUAAUAAGUUUAUCUCCAGCGUGAGUAACAUUAAAGCUUGGCUAGCAUCAUCAUAUUUUAUCUCCAGCAUCAAAAUUCUGAUAACAUCAACAUCAUAAUUCCAAGGUUGUCAAAACUAAUUAUCAAAUUAAAAUCCUUUGUGAUUUAAGCUCUCUUGGACUUUUAAAAAUGUUAUGCCACCCCUUCUUUAAUAAUAGUAGUAUAUGAUUAUGAUUUAAUUAUUUUAUUUUUUUAAUUUAUCAAACACCAAUCACUUAAAUUAAACUCAAGAAAAAAAUUAGAACAUCAAAGAAUUUUAAUUGCUUCUUAUUAAGUACUAGAAUUAACUUCUCCCAAUGAUAAUUUAUUAAGCAAACCAUAAUGAUCAUCUUACACUAAAGAACCAACCCAUCUUCAAAACACAAGAAUUUAGUACAAAUAAUUAUCCCAAUAAAGUUUAACGAAAAAGAAAAGAGAUAUUUUUAUUAUUUCUUUUACUUUCUUAGUGGCUCUGCUACUACCUAUAGUCCAUUCUUAUUCAACAUACAGAUCUUUUAUAUUAUAUGCAAAUUAAAAUAUAUUCUAAAAAGUGUAUCCAACUGGUUAACAUAUUAUUUCUAUAUAAUAAUCAAUUUUAUCAAAUAAAAAGGAGUUUUGGUCAUUCAUUUGGCUCCGUUGCCACUGUUGUACGCUACAAAAGCUUUUGUCUUUGCUGACUCAGUUACUGUAAAAUGUCGUUCAGCCCCUUAUACUCUAUUUUAUUUAUAAGAAUUAUAAAAAUUUCUAAUUACCUACACUUUCAAAAUUCAAUUUAUCUCCUUACAAUCUUUUUCAUUUACUUUUUUUUGUAAGUAUUAAAAAGUUUCUAUUUACAACCACGACAUAGUAAUCAUCAUAACACACGAAUAUUUAUAAAAAUAUAAAAAUAUCACUAAAUUAAUACUAAAAAAUGUUUUCCUCUCUUGAGGAAUUAUGGUAUCUCAUUUUCGAUCACUCAUUAUCAACAAAAUUUUCAAAGAUAUGAUCAUUCAUCUUCUUUAUAAUAUCAUCUUAUAAUAAUUAAUACUUUCAUGAUUAAAAAAAUUAACAAAAUAAAGAUAAAUUCCCUUUGAAUCCAUCCCUCUCUACUAUCAUUUUCUCUUCAUUAGCAACAUUUAUCAAUAAUUGAAGCCACCAUCAGACUCAUCACACAGAGAGAGUGAGAGAGGGGAAGAAGAAACGGGAAAAAAAAAUAUAUGAGACAUUUACAAUUUUAUAGUGUGUUUAUUCAACGAGAUUCAUAUAUAGUUGCUAAGGGGUUUCAUUAGACACAGAGAGUUUAUUACACUGAAACUUUUAAUCCAGUAGUUAAGGCCUCAACAAUCAGAGUUAUUCUUAGCCUAGCAGUACUUAACAAGUGGAUAAUCAGACAAGUGGAUAUUAAUAAUGCCUUAAUGGCAUUUCAGUUGAAGAAGUUUACAUGGCACAACCUGAGGGAUUUGUGGAUCCUACUAAACCCCAACACAUCUGCAAAUUAAAAAGGACUAUAUAUGGCUUGAAGCAAGCUCUCAGGGCUUGGUUUGAUAGAUUCAAAGCUGCAAUGAUUACUCAAUGACAUUUUCAACACUCAAAAUCAGAUAAAAAAUAUCAAAAUAUUUAUAUCAUUAAACUUUUAGGCCUAAUUAACUAAUUAAAGUUCUAAAUUUUUAUUUAGGACAUUAAAAAGACCGGAUAGAUUCUAUUAGCCCAAAAAUUUUAUUUUAAUUUUAAUAUUCAUUAAAUAUUUUAAACUUAAAUCUAUUUUUUAUUUAUUUUUAGAUGUUAGAAUUGCCCACAGCGAAUCACAAUUUUAAUAUCUAAUCUAAUUUAAUCUAAUAUUUGCUCUUGAUUUGCUCUUACUUAACUAUUGUGUUGUAAAGGGAAUAGUCCACAUUUAUAAAGUGCCCACGCCACCCUUGAAAAAGUUAAUUUUGAAUCUAAAUUUGAUUUUAUUUGUAACAAUUUUGUAUUAGACUAUUAAUUUAUUUAUGAUAGUUUGUAAAAGAAGUUUGUAUCCCUUGCAUGCUGCGUUACUUACUAAUUUAAUGUAUGUGACUUUUGUAAUGGAUAUUAAUGCAAGAUAUUUUUCGAACUUUACUUUUAUUUAAAUUUUAUUUUAAUAUGAUUAACUCAAAUCGAAAAUAAAAAAAUGUAUUAAUUAUUCGGGGAUCGGGGACCCUCGGGGAUCCCCUAUUAUUAUUCGGGGAGGAGAUAGAGAUUCUCUUAAGUAAUUCUGACAGGGACGGGAAGGGGAUGAGGACAUACACAAAAUAUUGGGAAUGGUUACGGGGAGAUUGGUCCCCUCCCCUCCCCUCCCCAUUGCCAUCCCUAACUCCCUGACUAAAUAAUUUGGGAAUAUAAGGAUGCAAUAAGAGUUGAGUGGUCUUUAUUCCCAUAGCAUUAUUUUUUUCUCGCUUCAUCCGUGCUCUAUUCAAUCUUUAUGUGCCGCUUGUGUUAUGUUCCUGCAUAUCUAAUUACCUUUAGCUGCUUGUGUUAUGUUUACUUGUUUUGAUCUUAAUCUUUAAUCACUUAGCCUGAAUAAGAAAUAAUUUUUUAUAUUUGCUCUGCAAUGAUGUUAUUCGGUGUUAAUAGCUUCGUUUUGUUACUCUUUUCCGCACAGAUUCUUGAUCUCAACAGAACUUUUAUUUUGAAUAUUCUGCAUAAGGACAAUCUCAUUUAAUACCAUCAGUGAUUUUUCAUUUUUUUUCUCUUUAGUUUUAAUAUGUUUGAUAACUGUAUGGCUAAGCAAUCUAUGCAAUUUUAUCUUGUCGUAUGUUUGAGCUCAUUUUUUGUUGCAAUUCUGAAUAUUUGGUAUGAAUUAUGUGAUACCGGACAAUACUGUUAACUUGUUCAUUUCUUAAUUUUAAUAUCUUGUCAAAGUCACUAAUAGCAUUUCAUCAUGCUAUGAGUUAAACAUGGAACAAAUGACGACAUGCAGUUGUGGAAUGUGGUAGAUCUCUGGAAUUCUAUGUCCUUAUGCUUGUAGGGCAACACAAUACAUUAGUUAAAACAUUAAAGACUAUGAUGUCCGCAGAAAAUUAUAUGUCAACAUAUGCACCAGGCAUGAUGAAAUUAGCCAAAGACAGUGCUUGGAAACAAUUAACUAACUUUUGGCAUUAGGCGUAUCAAGUUCAAUUCGGUAUUUCACAAAACUUAAACUAACUUAUUCCUAAUUAUAGUGGACACAAUUAACUAACUUUGGCAACUGUUCUGAAGAGGAUGACUUCUUCAGGAUGACAUCAACUACCAGCGAUGAUACUAUCAGUAAGCUGCUUCUGCUAUCUAUUAAAUAUUACUGCUAAACGUAAUAUUGACAAUUUGUCUGUGUGCAGGCCUGUGAUAACCACUUGGAUCGGAUAAAGGACUGGGACAUCAACAAUUUGCCCAGAAACCAAUAAGAUAUCAUUGUAAUGUUUAAUUAUACAUGUAUUAGUUUCUCUUUGGAUGGUGCUCUUUGUUAUGCAAAAGUAUGGCGACUAUGUUUCAACCAGUGUAUCUAUUAUAUACACUAACUAUGAAUUACUAGAAAUUUUAUUACAUUAAUCAUUUUUAGAUAGCCACUCAUCUCAAACGAAACAAACUGGUCAGAGACACUUGACCCAACAUGCUUGUGAUCGACCUUAGAAUAAAUUUUUCUCACUCAAUAUAGACAACUUCUGUGAGGUUAAUAUUUCUUCAAAUGUCAAGAAAAGCAUUGGCCACAUAAAUGCAUACACAUGUUUUUGUUGGGAAGUUAAGCAGACGGGAACAACAUUGGACUAUAUACUCAUACACCAAACUUUAAUAAACUAAUAAAUAUAAUUUAAUAAUAAUUUAUUUCUCCUCGCUUAUGUGAGAAAAAGUCAAACCACAUAACGUAUUUAUAUUUUGUUAAGAAAUUUUACUGAUUGAACUAAUUAACACUAAUUUCUUAUCUCUCUUAACCAACGGAUAUUUUGAAGAUAGUUUUUUAUUUUCUAUAUUUUAUGUACUAAAUGAUUUUAAACCUCUAUCACGUCAUGAAUAAAUUGGAGUUUAGGUUGCUUAAAAUAAUAAUAAUAAUAAUAAUAAUAAUAAUAAUAAUAAUAAUUAAUAAAUGUAUUGAUGGAUUUCAUAAUCAUCCCACUUAGGGGUGGGCACGGUUCGGUUCGGUUCGAAAUUAAGUAGAACCGAUUUAAAUCGGUUAUUUUAUAAAAAGAACCGAAUAAGAACCAAACUCAAUAAGAACCAAACUCAAUAAGAACCGAACUCAAACGGUUCUUUUCGGAUCGGUUCGGUUCGGUUCGGUUUUUUCGGUUCUGGGUCUAUUGGGCCUAUUUUGAAUUUUUAAAUUUUUAGCCCAUUGGGCCUCAUAAAUGUAAUAAUUUUUUUCAACAAUUAAUUUAUCCUAAUUUUAUUACAAAUAUUAACAAUAAAUACAAAGUAUUCAAAACACAUUUUAUCACUAAUAUCUUACUAAUUAUUAAUAAGAUACUCCCAAAAUAUGAAAUAUUAAAAUUUCAAAAUACAUAACCAAACUCCAAUACUCCAUCUAUAUAAACAUAAUCAUAAUGUUAUAAAGAGAAAUAACACAUGUUUGAUUUGAAUAAAAUCAUGUUUGAUUUGAAUAAAAUUAUUAACACAUGUUUGAUUUGAAUAAAAUAAAAAAAUAAUUCGGUUCUUCGGUUCGGUUUUUUGGUUCAGCUAAGUGAACCGAAUACCGAACCGACAUUUCAGUUUUUUUUACAAACGGUAUAUUCGGUUUUUUUAAAAAAUAAAAACCGAACCGAAUUAAAAAAAACCGUCGGUUCGGUUUUUUUUAACAUUACGGUUUUUUUGCCCACCCCUAAUCUCACUCCUACGCCUCAAGACAAACAAGCUCACACUUCACGGAUCAGUCAAAGGAUCGGCUUUCAAGUCGUUGAAUUCACGGUGGUCAAACUAACGGAAAAACUAACGUGACGUCAAUCAGAUACGGUUUAUAAUAUAUGUAUCCUCAAUCAACGCAAAAAGUUUGAUCUGAAAAACCCUCUGCCUAAAACGCGUUUUCAGAAACGCGGUUUUGUUUUUCAAGUGGUUCCCAGAGCAUCCAUGCCAUGCUCUGUAUCAAUCAUUUCGUGCAUGUUUGGAGUUUGGCACGGCCAUUUUUACUGACUUUGUUAAGAAGUACUUAGAAGCUCAUUAGGAAAUGAUAACAAACGAAGCCUUGCGCUUUUACAUGUUACAUGCAUUAUUGGUAAGACGGUUGAUGAGUUACGUUAUAUGAACCCACAAUUAGUCGCCCAAUAGCCACCAUAUAUUAAAUAAUCAGUCAAAUUUUGAAUUGGGUAGUUAACUAAUUUCGAAUUACCGUAAGUCAUAAAUAAUGCAGGUUAGUAAGACCCGAGCCUAGGCAAAUUAAGGUCGUUAUCGCCUCUAAAUCAAGGCUGCAUAACCCAAAGUUAAGGGCACAUGUUCGAGUCCCAACUCCACAGUGUUGGAACUCUAUUAUAGUAUUAUUCCCUUUCACAUUAAAAGGAUAGGAUGGUUAUUUCUCUUACAUAUGUAGAUAGAUCAAAUAUAUCUUCUAAAUAAUAAUAGAUUUAUCAUUUUAAAGAGUUGUUUUAGAUAUGUGGAUAGAUCAAAUAAUAGACACCCUUUCCAUGAAAGGAGACUCAUUGAUUAUUGUUAAAAAAAAAAUUCGUUGAUGUUAUUAGAGAACUUGCAAUUUUUUUAUAACACUAAAUUUUUUAAUUUUUUAAGAUUUUUCUAUGAAUAGCAUGAAUUUUUUAUAGCAUUGGUAAUGAGGAUAUUAUGGACCUUUAGAUUUAAAUAUUUUAAUCUUCGCCAUUCAUUCAAUUUAGUGGAUAAAUAACUAAUUACUUAAUUUUUCAAGUUGCAUGUAGUAUAUAAGUUUAUGUAUGUAAUUCUAUUUUUAAUAAAUAAAUAAAUAAAUUUUAAAUCACUAACAAAAAAAAAUGCAAAUAUGUAUGUUAGUUUAGACGUGUACAUAAUAGAUAUGAAUUGAUAUUAUUUAAUUAUUGCACAAGACAUGCUAAUAAUGAUCUCUUUUGUCAAUAAUAAUCAGGAGAAUAAAAUGUUAAUUUCUUGAUUUUACUGGAUGGCUAAGAUCGAGUUAAGUCAAUUUUCGUUAUAUUUGUUAAUCUAAUAAUAUGUUGGCGAAAAAGAGGGAAUAUGAUUACAAACUAAGAUUGAGUUAAUUUUUUUAAUUCAGUCUUUAAAAAAUUGUACAACUGGUUUGAUAAUUGGUUAAUGAAAUUUUAAAUAACUAAAAUCAAGAUAUUAUUUUAACUAUAACUUCUAAUUUUGUACCAAACGUUGAUGAUCUUGAUGGGCGCAGAGGAUAGUUGGGUACGGUGCUGUAGUGGGCAACUAUGAGGAUAAAGUGAUGGUGACUGGAAUUGACAUAGGGGUAUACUUGGAUGAUGUUGAUUAUAGUGCGGCUGAGGCUUUAUGCUUUAGCUUAGAGUUGCUUAUCAAGAAUCUAUUAAUAACACAUUAUACUCAUACACCAAAGUUUAAUCUGAAUGAAUCAAGUAAUUCUAUGUUAAUAAAAGUUUUUAGACUUACGAUGAGGGUCUAGUUUAUAUAAAUGCAAAUAACACUGAAAUCUAAUAAUCCUUUACAAAUAAAUAUGAUUUAUUCAAUUAUCGCAAACAAUUGUUUUAUCAGAGUUAAUUACAUUAUUGCUAAACUUGUAUAAGCUUUCCUGUUUCAAGCAUAUCUACUUAAUUACAUUAUUCAUCGACAAUGUUACUUUGCUAGUAGAAGUUUUAUGUUUUCAUACCUUAAUCACUAUUUAACGCUUCGUUUUCCAAUAGUUCUAAUUCUUCAAAUUUUGGUUUUAUUCUUCCAUAAUUAUAAAUUGAUACUGAUUCGCACGACUCAAAUUAAAGUGGUUAAUUACUCUAAAAGUAUAAAUUUGGCAGUCAAUAAUUACUUAAAAAUAAUUGCAAAAAAAUUAAUAAGGAAUAGUAUAAAUUUAAAAACCGCUAAAGUUACGAGAUCCAUGCUUGAUAUUUAAAUCAUGGUCAUAAUACUCUUUCUCUCUCUCUCUCUCUCUCACACACACACACACAUAUAUAUAUAACCACUUUCAAUAUUAUGUUACUUAGUUCUUAAUUAACCGCUCUAUAAAUAAAUAUGAGAAUUAAGUACAUAUUAUGCUACAACCUUAUUGGAGUGUUCCCACUACCAUAUUAGUAGUCAACAUUAGGUCUAAACACCCACAUAAUAUUUUUGGUGAACUUGCAACCACAACCUUUAAAUUAGGGGUGGGCACGGUUCGGUUCGGUUCGAAAUUAAGUAGAACCGAUUUAAAUCGGUUAUUUUAUAAAAAGAACCGAAUAAGAACCAAACUCAAUAAGAACCGAACUCAAACGGUUCUUUUCGGAUCGGUUCGGUUCGGUUCGGUUUUUUCGGUUCUGGGUCUAUUGGGCCUAUUUUGAAUUUUUAAAUUUUUAGCCCAUUGGGCCUCAUAAAUGUAAUAAUUUUUUUCAACAAUUAAUUUAUCCUAAUUUUAUUACAAAUAUUAACAAUAAAUACAAAGUAUUCAAAACACAUUUUAUCACUAAUAUCUUACUAAUUAUUAAUAAGAUACUCCCAAAAUAUGAAAUAUUAAAAUUUCAAAAUACAUAACCAAACUCCAAUACUCCAUCUAUAUAAACAUAAUCAUAAUGUUAUAAAGAGAAAUAACACAUGUUUGAUUUGAAUAAAAUCAUGUUUGAUUUGAAUAAAAUUAUUAACACAUGUUUGAUUUGAAUAAAAUAAAAAAAUAAUUCGGUUCUUCGGUUCGGUUUUUUGGUUCAGCUAAGUGAACCGAAUACCGAACCGACAUUUCAGUUUUUUUUACAAACGGUAUAUUCGGUUUUUUUAAAAAAUAAAAACCGAACCGAAUUAAAAAAAACCGUCGGUUCGGUUUUUUUAACAUUACGGUUUUUUUGCCCACCCCUAAUCUCACUCCUACGCCUCAAGACAAACAAGCUCACACUUCACGGAUCAGUCAAAGGAUCGGCUUUCAAGUCGUUGAAUUCACGGUGGUCAAACUAACGGAAAAACUAACGUGACGUCAAUCAGAUACGGUUUAUAAUAUAUGUAUCCUCAAUCAACGCAAAAAGUUUGAUCUGAAAAACCCUCUGCCUAAAACGCGUUUUCAGAAACGCGGUUUUGUUUUUCAAGUGGUUCCCAGAGCAUCCAUGCCAUGCUCUGUAUCAAUCAUUUCGUGCAUGUUUGGAGUUUGGCACGGCCAUUUUUACUGACUUUGUUAAGAAGUACUUAGAAGCUCAUUAGGAAAUGAUAACAAACGAAGCCUUGCGCUUUUACAUGUUACAUGCAUUAUUGGUAAGACGGUUGAUGAGUUACGUUAUAUGAACCCACAAUUAGUCGCCCAAUAGCCACCAUAUAUUAAAUAAUCAGUCAAAUUUUGAAUUGGGUAGUUAACUAAUUUCGAAUUACCGUAAGUCAUAAAUAAUGCAGGUUAGUAAGACCCGAGCCUAGGCAAAUUAAGGUCGUUAUCGCCUCUAAAUCAAGGCUGCAUAACCCAAAGUUAAGGGCACAUGUUCGAGUCCCAACUCCACAGUGUUGGAACUCUAUUAUAGUAUUAUUCCCUUUCACAUUAAAAGGAUAGGAUGGUUAUUUCUCUUACAUAUGUAGAUAGAUCAAAUAUAUCUUCUAAAUAAUAAUAGAUUUAUCAUUUUAAAGAGUUGUUUUAGAUAUGUGGAUAGAUCAAAUAAUAGACACCCUUUCCAUGAAAGGAGACUCAUUGAUUAUUGUUAAAAAAAAAAUUCGUUGAUGUUAUUAGAGAACUUGCAAUUUUUUUAUAACACUAAAUUUUUUAAUUUUUUAAGAUUUUUCUAUGAAUAGCAUGAAUUUUUUAUAGCAUUGGUAAUGAGGAUAUUAUGGACCUUUAGAUUUAAAUAUUUUAAUCUUCGCCAUUCAUUCAAUUUAGUGGAUAAAUAACUAAUUACUUAAUUUUUCAAGUUGCAUGUAGUAUAUAAGUUUAUGUAUGUAAUUCUAUUUUUAAUAAUGACAAUUGAUUGUGUUAGCAUUUUGGUCAAAAAGGUGGACCCCCCCAAAAACAAACAAAAAAAAUUUAUGAUAAUAAUUAACAUUGAUAAAUAAAAAUAUUAAUAAUGGGUGUGUUAGCAUUUUGGUCCAAAGCCGAUUUGGCCUUGACAUUAAUUGGAAUUUUGGAUCUAUAAUAUGAUUUUCACCGAAAAGAUAAUUUUGCCGCUAAUUAUUUGGGUAGUCAGAUAAUAAUAACAAAAAAAUGUUAUCUCGAUCUCACCUAUAACUUGAGGAGAUAAUAAUGAUAGUCUUUCAUAAUACUCUACUGUUUAGUUUCUCUUCUUCAUUUUUUUCCCCUUUGAAGUCUUUCAACAAAAAUGGGUGGCAUCAUCUCAACCUUCUUCUCAGCGGACACAAUUCGUCCAAUUUUAUUUUACGUCGGUGGACGAGCAAAGUAUAUAUGGGGUCUUAAAGGUAAUCUCGAUGACUUGCAAACUGAAACGGAGAACUUGAUUGCGAAAAAACUAGAUCUACUGAAUAAGGUUAGGCUUGCCGAACAACAACAGCCUCGUGCCCAACGGACGAGCACGGUGAAACUCUGGUUCGAAAGGGUGGAUCGAAGUGUAACUCUUGUUGAGGGGCUGCAACAAGAAAGAGAUCAAGAGAUUGACAGAUUGUGUCUUGGAGGCUUCUGUUCCAAGGACUUGAUUUCAAGCUACGACUUCGGCAAAAAGGUGGAGAAGUUGAAGGAAGAAGUAAUCAAAUUGAGGGAAAAAGGAGAAGCAAUGAAAGAAGUUUAUGAGGGGUUACCAGAAGGUGCAGCGGUUGCAAUAGCUGUUGACCGAACAAUUGUUGGUCAAGAAUCAAUACUUGACCAAGUUUGGAGAUGCAUCACUGAUCAAAAAAAGAAUAAUGGAAUUAUUGGCUUAUAUGGUAUGGGGGGCAUCGGCAAAACUACUCUGUUAAAACAAGUCAAUAACAAAUUCUGCAGUGAGGAGCAUGAUUUUGAUGUCGUUAUCUGGUCGGUUGUAUCUAGAGAGCCAAACUUGAAGCAGAUUCAAGAGGAUAUUGGGAAAAGGAUAGGCUUCUCAACAGAUUCAUGGCAGAGAAAAAGGUUUGAAGAAAGGGCUUCAGACAUCACCAACACUUUAAAGCAUAAGAAGUUUGUAUUGUUAUUGGAUGAUAUAUGGGAGUCCGAAAUUGAUUUAACCAAAUUGGGCGUCCCUCUUCAGACACUAGAUUCUGGGUCCAGAAUAGUCUUCACAACUCGUUUUGAGGGUACUUGUGGUAAAAUGGGAGCCCAUAAGAAUCGGUACAAAGUGUUUUGUUUGGGAGAUGACGAUGCCUGGAAAUUAUUUGAGGGGGUGGUCGGGAGAUACGUUCUUAACAAGCAUCCCGACAUUCCGAAGUUAGCCGAGGAUGUGGCACGUCAGUGUCAUGGUUUGCCGCUAGCACUCAAAACAGUAGGUAAUGCCAUGGCGAGCAAAGUGUACCCUGAAGAAUGGAAAGAAGCAAUUGAGAUCCUAAGCGCAUCAGCUUCUAAAUUCGAAGAUAUGGAGAAAAAGGUGCUUUCGAGCUUAAAGUUCAGCUAUGAUAGUUUGCCGAAAGAUGAACUUCGAUCUUGUCUCCUGUACUGUUGCUUAUUUCCCGAAGACUCUGAAAUUCUAAAAACCGAGUUGAUAGAGUAUUGGAAAAGUGAAGGAUUUGUGCAUUCUAGCAGCGGGUGGGGGGUUCUUGGUGCUCUCGUUCGUGCAUGCUUAUUGGAGGAAGCAGGUGAUCGUGUAAAAAUGCACGAUAUGAUCCGUGACAUGGCAUUAUGGAUAGCAAAUGAAGUAGAGGAGGAGGAGGAGAACUUUUUGGUUCGUGCAGGAGUUGGAUUAACUGACGCCCCAAAGAUUGAAGAAUGGGAAGGGGUCAAAAGGAUAUCCUUGAUGCAGAACAAAAUUCAAAGUCUACCACAAAUUCCCUCUUGUCCGCGUCUGCAAACAUUGCUUCUGGCGAGUAAUCGUAUUAAGGAGAUCACUGAGAGUUUCUUUCAAUCUUUGCCUUCACUUAGAGUUUUGAGUCUAAGAAGAAAUCGUUCCCUGACUGAACUUCCUGUGGGGAUUUCAAGUCUGGUUUCAUUACACCAUCUUGAUAUGUCUUCUACUAAAGUACGUGGAUUGCCGCAAGAGCUCAAGGCAUUGGUGAAUCUGAGAUAUUUGAACUUGGAGUAUACACGUGGAAUGUCUAGAAUUCCACAGCAAUUAAUAUCAAGCUUUUCAAAGUUACAGGUACUCAGGAUGCUGCGUUGCGGUCGACGUUACCAGCCAAUAGUGGAAGAAGGCAACGUUCUAUCUGCUGAUGCUGAAUCAUUGAUGAAGGAAAUCCACUGUUUGGAACAAUUAAAUCUCAUCACCUUGUCCUUACAUGGUUCGCGUGGUGUUGAAAACUUUCUGAAAUUCCCAAAGCUGCAGAAUAUCACUCAAGCUCUGUCCAUCGAAGACUGCAACAGUCUACCGCUCAAUUUGUUACAUCUAGCAAACAUGGAGCAUCUUGAGGAGUUAUAUAUCGAGGAUAGUAAUUUGGAAGACUGGAAUGUCGACUGCGCGGGAGAGGUACAAAAAAUGCGUAAACUUCACUCGGUUCUCAUACGGAAUUGCUCAAAUGUGAAGGACUUGACGUGGCUUGUUUUUGUUCCAAAUCUCAAGUGGCUGCGAAUAGUUGGUUGUGAUGACAUGGAAGAAAUAAUCAGUGUUGAAAAAUUUGAAAAAUUGAGUGAAGUUUCAGAGAUGAUGGGAGAGCUUAACUUGUUCUCAGAACUCGAACUUCUGGUAAUAAGAAAUGCAAGUAAUUUGGAGCGCAUCUACCGCGAUCCCUUGCCCUUUCCACAGCUGAACCGAAUUAGCAUAUUGAAAUGCCCAAAGUUGAAGAAGCUCCCACUCAAUUCCAGCAGCGCAAAGGGACGUAAAAUUGCCCUUGCGGGACAGAAAGAAUGGUGGGAAGAGCUACAAUGGGAGGAUCAAGCCACUCAAAAUGCUUUCUCUCCCUGUUUCCGACCUAUUGAAGAAUAAAGUGCGAUAAGGCACAAAAGUGUGAAUAAAAUUUCUGCGCGUGCUUAAUGAUUAUCUUGUCUAUCUAUUUCAUUUAAUUUAAAAGUUUUCUACGGAGUUGCAUGUGUGUCACUUGUCAUUCUUCUGUACUGCUGUUUCCUAUUUCCAGUUAAUAAAAUUUUUUUGUUCUUAGAGUUAGAAAUGCUUUACUUGUAAGGGAGAUUCACAAUUUUCCCAUAUUAUGAUUAAUAUAUUCUUUUUACUUUCCUACUAUUUUGCAUAAUUUUUUAAUAUUAUUUUUAUUUCUAAAUAUAUUUUUAUUCAUAUUUAUUAUAAAUUAAAUAAAUGUAUGAAUAGAAAUAAAAAUAAAAAUAAAAAUUAAGUAUUAAAACAAGAAAUAUAUAUUAUGAUUUGAAUAAAAAAUAAAUAUUUUUUUGUACUUAGAAUGCCAUUUGUCGUGAGCACCUGAAUCCCCAAAGGACUCCCAGCUUCAAGUGGCUUUGACUUAGCUUGCUUUAGCUCCAUUGCACAUACUCACUCACAUGGAGGAAAUGAACAGAACAAGAAACCUCAUCAUGCCGAAUAUGAUAGAUAUGACAAGGCAUUACAUUGUAGGAAGCUCCCGAUUUCUCUAAAAAACUCUGCAGGUUCUCCGCAAUCAAGGCGUGCUCCAUCUUUAACAGAUCACUUCUACCAUUAAGAGAAGGAAGAGAGUUCCUCUCGUGUGACAGUAAAUCCUUACUUAACACAGGAUUGGAGCCAACCAAGAAGGGAAGGCAAUUUCGUUAGAUUAAGAAUCGAAUCACCAUCCAAUAUAGUAGCAUUUGAACCAGAACUCUUGUUAAAUUCUUGAAAUCUCCUGCUUUCAUCAGUCUGUAAGAGAAAUGAAGAUGAGAAUAAUAGCCAGAACCGGAUUAAAUUCAAUCUGGUCUUUUGAAGACUUCUAUAACAACUAAGAGAACCCAGUGUACCGCCUACAGAUACUGUCAGGCUUCUAUCAAAUAUCCCAAACACCAAAAACCAACCAAAUUAAGCUAACAAACCUGCAUGAAUAUCUAAAUUUCAAUGCAUAUGAAACAAACUCCAUGUUCAAUCCACCAAAACUAGCAAAUUUCAAACUUUAUCACUCAUCAUUCUCUCUCUGUCAGCUGUACGAGGCUAUGAGAUCAUGUUAUAAUGUUCAUAUUGAUGCUGAAUGUUUUGCCAGCUUGUCUGAAUUCCAUAAGAGAAUGCAAUGUGCACAUUAUUGUGCCUUGCCCACCAGUAGAUUCUAAACCACAAAAUCAUUCUGUGAAGUAGCUGACGUUUCGCACAUUCUUAUCCCUUACCAUCAAUAUUCUUCUCCUCAAGCUUAGAUCAUGGAAAUUUGAGUGAUAACACGAUCUAAACUUUAGGGGCAUAAAGUAACAUAGAAGCAACAUGGGAUGUUUUAAAAUCUAUUAUAAUUUGCUUAGGCCCCUGAAUAAAAUUAAAACUUGAAAUGAAAUAAAGUAGCAAAAUAAAGAUUGGAGGUCGCAUGCUUGAUAUUUGAUGCUGUCAAAAUUAAUUUGCAGUGCUGAAAUUGCUGCUCCAAUAAAUUUUUCAAUGGGAUUUCCAUAUUUACAACAAAUUUUCAGUAUUGAAACAGGAUUAAAAUCAUAAAGUGUCUUUUAAACAGCAGAGGCAACAAGAUCCUACAGAAAAAGAAGGCAAAAAGUAGUUACAAGCUACAGAAACGCAAAUAUUCUACUGGCCAACUCCCACUAAAUUCGAAGCGAUUCUAAAAUCUCAGCUUGUACUACUACAUCAUUCCUUCUAUGUAGCCCAACUGUACUUCACCCAGAAAUCACAUUUCUUCAUCAGAGAUAAUUUUACAUCAUUCCUUAUCAUUAGGCAUAAGGCUCCCAAUGUUCUUGGAGGAAUUAUGAUGAAUAUGAGGGUUUCAAAAAAGAAAAAAAAAUAUUAUGACAACCUCUAGGCGGAGGAAAUCAGUUUUCUAGGAAUUCGUUAGAUUGGUGAAGUUAUAGAACCUUAGCAAUUUGCUGUAGUUUGGAAUGUUUUUGCCUUUCAUUAUAGCAUUUGCAAAGGCUCAAGGAUAUAGAAGAACCUUGGCUACAAAUUCAGGGAAGAUUUCACUUAUAAUGAGAAAUAAUCACCAUUAUUCUAUACAAUGAGAAAACAGUUAUGGAAGAAAUAGAAAGAAUUACCCGAAACGAAGGAUUUGGAAGACAAUGAGACAAAAGUAUAAAGAAGAAGAAAUUGGAGAUAUAAUGGCUGCCAAUUUCUUUGAUGAACCCAUCAAAAACGGCUUGAAAAUUAAAGAAAUUGUCAAAUGCUGUAACGGAGGAAUUGAAACUGUAAAAGAUGCAAGUUAAUUCAUGGGGCUGGCCAUCUUGAUUGAUUGAACACCUACACGUGACAAGUGUGCGAUAAUCGUUAUAUCUUCAAUUUUAGGCAGUUUUUCAUUUCUUUUAUUUUAAUAGUAAAAAAAUACGCCAUUUUAGAUACAAAUGCCCCUGACUAGCCCUUUUGUAAGUUACAUUGUUUGGUGCGAUAGUCCCGCACGUGCUUGACAUUUGCCGAAUAUCUUAUGCGCAUUUUUUUUCCCCUCUAACUCAUUGUGUAUGCUCAUCUUUAUGUGCGUUAUUACCUAAACUUAUAUACCAAUCAAAAUAAAUCAUAAAGUAUCAAACGCUUUUAAAUGAUUUUUAAUAUUAAAGAACUCACUUUAAUGAUGUUUAAUUGGUAGUAGCCCUUUAUAGUCUUUAAACCUUUAGCAGUGCAAAGUCACAAGCUUUGUCCAGAAUCUAAUGGCGUAGAUUAUAGGCGAUGGGUGCCAUCACCUGGGCAACGACGUACAUCGCUUGGGCGACAAGCCAAUUUACUAGGCUCAUCGCAAACAGCCUUCGUCGCCUGGGCGAUGGCCAAAUCCAUCCAAUAAACUUUCAGCUCAUGUUUGAUAGCCUAAAAAAAGUAGUUAUGGUGACCAUCACACAUCACAUUUUACUGACAAGGUGUCUUAAUUUUCAUAGAAAAUUGUUCCUACUGAUUUUCCAAUCCUGGCCUAAUACUUGCAGAUUAUUAAACGAUUAUGGAAUGGCAGCAAACCGGCGCCGCGGAGGGGGGCCGGCCCGGGGUUGUUGUGCUGAUUUGGGAGGGGUAAUAAACCCUCUGAGGCAAUUUAGCAAACAUAUUAUGUGCCAUGAUUUUAGACCAGUAAUUUUGUCAAUAAUAGCUAAUUCGCAAUCCCAUUACAAAUCUAAUAAUCUAUUGCAUACACGCUCUUGAUGACUUGGAUUCUCAAAAAAUAAUCAUUUUACGCCGCUGAGGCGCAGAAAAAUCAAUUGUGUUGUCCCUUUAUACUUUUUCAUUUGUUUUGCCCACGUCCAAAUAAAACAGAUUCUGGUAAAUGUGAUAAGGAAAUGUUUGUUUCAAUUUCCAACCCAUAUCUCAUAAAGAAUUUCUCACUCAAAUAAAUAAAUAUUAUCCGGUAAUGGUAUGACAUUUAUUUUGAAGUAAACACCGGCACGCCAUUUUCUCAUUUUUUUCAUUUUUUGAGGACACCAUUUUCUCAAUUGAAGAAUAUAUUUUGGCCAAAAUUCACAAUGUUCUCCACAUGAUUUAAAGCACACAGAAUUCACACUUGUCUCCACAUGAUUUAAAAGCACAAGGAAUUCUCUUGACCUUAAUUACGAAUCUUUUUAUGUUUAUUGAAAUCCAAUAUUGUUGACUCAUUGGUGUAGCCAGAAAAUCAUAUUAAUAUAGUAGAAUUUAUAAAUAACCAAAGAAAAAAGUUCACGCUCUUACUUUAUUACUUUUAUAAUUUUAUUAGUACAUCUACUAACAUGUCUUCAUAAAAUAUAGUUUUAAGAGGAUAUUUUUAUGGUUGUAGAUAUUUUUAUUUUUCUUCUUAAUAAUAGAUUUAAUUUUCAUCUUUCUAAUGUUAAGUUGCACAUUUGGACUAAAUCAGAUUAAAUUUCAAAUUAGAUGACAGGCCUUAUUUUAAUAGAUUCAAUUGGAUUUUGGACAUCUAAUUAAACAACUGGAUUAAUAAAUUGCAAAUGAAUGAGAUUUAUAUGUGAUUUUAAAAUAAAAUUUGAACUUAAAUCUAUGUAUUCAAUUAAUCCAACAAGACAAAUUUAUAAUUUCUACCACCUAAAUAAAAUAUGUUAUCAGAAACUUUUGGACCAAGUAGGGGCAGUUCAUCACUUCGUCGGCCUGCUACUACUUAUACUCCUUUCUCAUUCAACUUUCACAUCUUUUAUAUUAUAUACAAACUAGAUUUGUCAUGCAAGUAUUUGACAGAAGAAAUCUCAUUGGAAAUCGGACAACUUCAAGAAAUUCAUUUAUUGAAUUUGUCACAUAAUUGCUUGUCGGUUUAUAAACCAAAAAGGUAUUCCAAAUUAAAAGUGGUAGAGAGCCUAGACUUUUCUUACAACAGAUUAAGUGGUAGAAUUCCUCCUUAAUAGACUGAGCUCAAUUUUUUGAUCUGUCUUCAAGACGUCAUACAACAACUUGUCCAACCUGAUACCAAACAAAGAGCAGUUUGCCACAUUCAAUGAAGGCAGUUAUGGAGGAAAUCUGCAUCUUUGUGGUCCAACAGUUAAUAAGAGUUGCAACAAUGCGGAGGAAAUACCAGCAAUAGAAUCCAAUCGAGGAGAAGAUGAAGAUGAAUGUGCAAUUGAUAUGGUGUCAUUCAGUUGGAGUUUCGGUUCAUCAUAUGUCACAUUCAUCAUGGGGUUUUUCGCGAUACUUUGGAUAAACUCAUACUGGCGCAGAAUGUGGAUCUAUUACAAUCAUGUAUUCACUAGGCCAUACGCGUGAUGUGCUUUUCUGCUAAAACUAGUUCACAAAUGUGAUUUCAUUAAAAUUAGUCUAUACACAUCUUUCCCUUGGCUUUUGUUGGCUCCAACUCCGGACUUUUAUUCAUAUCAUUACUUUAUGUAGUUUCCCCAAAAGGCUUGUGAUGAUUAAUGCAGUUUAUAAAUUAUUACUACUACAAUAAUGAUAUAAUAAAUAAUUUUUUUUAAGUUGUAAAAGUGAGAAAUACUAAAGAGAUCUUUAUUACAUCAUUAAUGUUCGAUCAAGAAUUUCCUCAUCCGAGCUUGCAGUCUGUGGAGGAGACUGUAUCAAUGUCGAAAUUCUCCGGACCGGCACUAUUUGCUGUUUCUCCAUUGAAUAGUGCGUCUUACUACAACAAGGUGAAACACAGCCCAGUGUUCUGAUUGGGCCCAAUGCGAAAAACAUAAAACCCAAAUUUUUGUUGACUUUGGGCCUGCUCAAAUACCAUGCCCAAUUGUGUCUAGUUGUAACAAAAGCGGCGAGAUGUUCAUGCCCAAACCCGCAAGAUUGUUUUAAUAUUUAAAAUUUAACAUGAUUCUAGAAUUUUUGUUAAUAAAAAAUAAACCACCAAGAUUCUAGUGAAUAACAAAUGUAUACAUAUACACGUGCUGUGUAGACCGGGCCAAUUCUUGUGGAAUUCUCCAACAACCAUCCUGAUUCUUGAAUUGCCGCGAAAAUUCCGCAAGCGAUGAACCCUCUCUUACGCACCACUCAUUCUCUAUCACAAUGAUCAAAAUAAAGACGAGGACGGAGACUAUUAAUCACUGAGAGUGAUUUUCUCAAUAUUUGUCAAUCACUACUAAGAUUCAUUGUCAAUCAAUAAUAUCAAUUGACACAAAGAUUGAUUGUCUUUUUUUUUUUUUCGAGAAUAUCAGUGCUUGAAUACAUUAUUUGAUAUAUAUAAUUCAAUGUAAACUCAAUCAUACUCUUAAAUUAUUUUUAUAAAUUCUCAAUAUCAGUCUUUGAUUUUAAUUCGAGUUUUGAUUCAAAUUAAUGCAAGGAUACAAAAGGACUCAAGAGCUUCAUAUAUCAAUUCUAUGUUAUUAACUUAUUAUUUCGGUGUACACCACAAAUUUAUGAGUAAUUUAUUAAAAUGUCUAAACAUAUAUGAAAAAUAGUUGAUUAUUGAUUUUCACAAAUUUCAAUAUAUCAAACAUCCUAUCGAGUUAUUAAUUCCAAAGCACAUUAUUUAAGAAUCAAUGCUAGAAUAAAUUAUUUGAUAAUUUCAAACCCAAAUUUACGCUUAAAUUCUUUAAAUUAUCUCAAUCAACUUUUUUUUUUCUUAGCUGACCAUCUAUAUCAGCUAUUGGAAAAAAAAAUAGAAUUGACGACUACUUGUAUGUUGGCCUAAUUUGAAAGUCAAUCAACAUUUAUUUUCCAUGUAAUGUUAAUGAAGCAUUUCCCUCAUUGGUCCAACAUUGCAACAUGUGGAAUUUCAGGCUUACAAUUCCUCAUUAGUCAUUACAGAUACCGAAAUUGAUUGUCAGACAAUAUUGUCAUUUCAAUAUAUGCCACAAUUUUAUGAGUAAUUUACUAAAAUCUUUAAAUAUAUAAAAUUUGCAUGUGUGUAAUAAACCUGUAUUUAUAUAUAAAAUUUGCAUAUUUAAAUUGCACCUCUCCAUGCAUCAUAUAAAAUGUCAUUUCAAUGUGAUCCACACUUUUAUGAGUUAAUAACUAAAUAUUGUCACUAAAUUUUUCCUAAUUGUUGCAUGCAUUAGAUUUUUUUACGAAAAAAAAAACAUGCUACAUUAAGUGUAAAACAAUUGAGGAAAAGAUUAGAGAACACAAUGAGAAAAGAAAUUUUUUAUACAACCUUUUCAUCAAUAAAAAUCAUAUUCAUACUAAUCAAUUCUUCAUUCCUCUUGGUAUUAACAGACUCUCACAUCCUACAAAAUCUAACCCUUAUCAUCCAACUAUCUUUAUCAUUAUUUAACUCAUGAAGAAAAGAGUACUCCAUGAAGCACACAAUACUAAAAAUUCAAAUAAGUCAAAAAUAAAAAUGCAAGAAUAUUUCUAAGGAGGAUGUUGGUUAAAUAAUAAAAAACCCAAACAUAACAAAUCUUAAAUACUUAAUGUUUAUAGACUUUGAAGAAGUCAAAAGACAUUAAACAAAAUGUUGCAUAAUUAAAUAUGGAAUUAUGACAUUAAAAUUAGGCCCUAAUGGCAUUGGUGAGUGAAGAUGAAGGAACCUUCCUUCCUAUAUUAAUUAGUUGAUGUAUUUUAAGUCACUAAAGUUUAGUUGUUGGCUUAAUAAAAUAAAUGAAUGUUUCAAGACUUAUAAUUAAUUAUUAUUAAUGGUUGCAUAUUAUUGAAUUUAAAUAGAAAGAGGAAGAGACAUGUAAUUUUUUGUAAUCUAAUAAUUAUUUUCUAUUUUGUAAUGUAAUUAUUUUUUAAUCUCAACCAAUAUAUUAGAUAAUAGAGAAUAUAAAAAGAUAAGAAAUAAUGAUGUCACAAAUCUUAAAUACUUAAUGUUUACAGAGUUUGAAGAAGCGAAAAUGCACUAAACAUAAGGUUGCAUAAUUAAAUAUAGGAUUAUGGUAUUAAAAUUAGGCUCUAAUGGCAUUGUUGAGGGAAGAUGAAAGAAACUUUCUUCCUAUAUUAAUUAAUUGAUGUAUUUUAAGCCACUAAAGUUUAAUUGUUGGCAUAAUAAAAUAAAUGAAUGUUUUAAGACUUAUAAUUAAUUAUUAUUAAUGGUUACAUAUUAUUGAAUUUAAAUAGAAAGAGGAAGAGACAUGUAAUCUUUUGUAAUCUAAUAUUUAUUUUCUAUUUUUAAUAUUUUGUAAUGUAAUUAUUUUUUAAUCUCAACCAAUAUAUUAGAUAAUAGAGAAUAUAAGAAUAUGAGAAAUAAUGAUGUCACAUCACCUCUUGUAGUCCCAACUCUCUCUCUCUCUCUCUCUCUCUCUCUCUCUCUCUCUCUCUAUAUAUAUAUAUAUAUAUAUAUAUAUAUAUAUAUACAUACAUAUUAUUUUCUAAAAAGUAUUUCUAAUUGUUUAACGUUUUAUUUAUGAGUAUUUUUAAGAGUUUAAAAAAUAUGGGAAACAGAAUCAAUUUUAUCAAAUAAAAAGAAUAUUGGUCAUUUUCUUCAUAAAGAAAGUGUUAAAAUACUUUUGGUAUUUAAGAAGUAACAAUUUUUUUUUUUGUUUCAUAAAAAAAGCAUUCAAAAUUAUAUUAAAUAAAAUUAAAGAUUAACAAAACUGACGUCUGAAUUUCGUGUAAAUUAUAAUAAGUUUAUCUCCAGCAUGAAUGACAUUAUAGCGUGGCUAGCAUCAUCAAAAUUCUGGUAACAUUCCAAGGUUGUCAAACUAAUCAUCUCAAAAUGUCAUUAUACUUGUAGCGUGCGGGCAUCAUCUUUACUUUCAGCAUCAAAAUUCUUUUAUUUAAUACACUUUUAUUUUAUACAAUUUUUAUCAUAUUAAAAUCCUUUGUAAUUUAAGCUCUCUCGGACUUUUAAAAAUGUUAUGCCACCCCUUCUUUAGCAGUAAUAGUAUAUGAUUAUGAUUUAAUUAUUUUAUUUUUUAAUUUAUCAAACACCAAUCACUUAAAUUUAACCUAAGAAAAAAUUAGAACAUCAGAUAAUUUUAAUUGAUUCUUAUUAAGUACUAGAAUUAACUGCUCCCAAUGAUAAUUUAUUAAGCAAACCAUAGUGAUCAUCUUACACUAAAGAACCAACCCAUCUUCAAAACACAAGAAUUUAGUACAAAUAAUUAUCCCAAUAAAGUUUAACGAAAAAGGAAAGAGAUAUUUUUAUUAUUUCUUUUCCUUUCUUUCAUUUCAAUUUCUUGCCUCCUGAGCUCUUCUAAAAGCCAACCAAACCACUUAUUUAAAAAAAAAAAAAAGGAACCAGACAAAGCGCAAGAAAAAAAAUUAAAAAAUUCGCAGUCUACACACAUCCCAGCACCGUAUGCGUCCAAUAAUUCAUCUCCAAUAAUUGCCCCUAUAUGACCACCGGUUUGUACUUGCAUAUAUGUGAAACAGGAUAAAAUCACAAUGUGUCAUUUAAUUAGCAGAGGUAACAAGAUCCUACAGAAAAGGGUUUACAGGAAAAGAAAGGAAAAAAAAUUGUUACAACAUACAGAAACCCAAAUAUUCUACUGGCUAACCCCCAUUAAAAUUCGAAACCAUUCUUAAAUCUCAGCUUAUACUACUUCAUCAUUCCUUCUGUGUACCCCCAACUGAAUUUCUGGCAGAAAUCACAUUUCUUCGUUAGCCUCAACUCAUGCAUCUUUUACUUUUAAUCAAACAUACUUUUUUAUCUGCUGGGCUUUUUAACAAAGAAUAAUUUUCCUUAGAUCUUUUCUAAUAGACAAGAAAGCACAAAGCACAAAUAUCUAGGAAUGUUUUUGCCCUUCAUCAUAGCACUUGCAAAGGCUCCAGGGUAUAGAAGAACCUUGGCUACAAAUUCCUGGGAAGACUUCACUUAUAAUCAACUGGAAGGAUGUCACCUCUACGGGCGUUGUACAUUUUCCACUUCUACGUGGUAUCCUGCAGAAACAAACAAUAAAACACGUGUUAUACAAGUAUUUUUUAAGUAUGAAAUACAUCAAAAGCAUUUAUGAUGCCAUUAAGUUUAGUCAAUACAAUCUCUCAAGGCAGGACAAGAGAUUUGAGAUUCAAACUCCACCUACGUAGGAAAGGAAUGUCAAAAAGAAAUGCGGUUGGGAUAGGUUAUUACGUUUUAUUCUUUUUAUUACUAGAAUUGAAUAAUGCUGCCUUUGACAGUAAAAUAAACGUCAAGUGAUAAUUGAAUUAUAAAAAAGUGAGGUAAAUGGUGAGAAAUAAUCACCAUUAUAAUUUAUAAUAUAAAAUGAGGAAAUAAUUAUGGAAGAAAUGGAAAGAAUUACCUGAAAAGAGGGAUUUGGAAGACAAUGAGACAAAAAUAUAAGGAAGAAGAAAUCGAAGAUAUAAUGCCUGCCCAUUUCUUUGACGAACCUGUAAAAUGUCGUGAUUGAGGGAAUUAAACCGUAUGACGUUUAUGAAAUACUAACUAGGCAACCCAAGAGGGGGGUGAAUUGGGAUUUUAAAAAUUAUCCUAGGCAAACCACACAACAAUUUAAUCUAAUGCCUUAAUAAAUUCGAAAACAAUAAAUUCAAUAAAAGCACAAUAAUAAAUGAGUAAGGGAAGAGAAAGCAAACCCAAGGAUUUUUACGUGGUUCGGCAAUCCCCGCCUACGUCCACGCCUCCAAGCACACCGGGCUUGAGGAUUUUACUAAGCUAGCCUCCCAAGGCUUCAAACGCUUACAAUUGACUUCCAAGGUGUCAAUGGACCUUUACAACAAGAGAUUAUCCCCAAUCUCUUAACCCAAGUGUAUCCCAACACUUACAAUCUUUUAACUUGAUUUUACAAAAAAGAUUACAAAUGAAUCUCUCUCACACAAUGUGUUUGAUCACAAGUGAAAGCUCAAUGUGUGAAUGAAUGAGAUGAAUACAAAGAUUUAAAGCUCAAUGAAAGUUGUAUUCUCAAUAUUUUGCUCAAUGAUGAUCGUUGGAAUUCUUCUUGUUUGAAUUGGAUUGAGAUUAUUUAUAGUUGGAGCUGAAAAACUAGCCGUUAUAGACUGUCUGCUAGAAAACGGUUCGCCGUUAACCAUUAACGGUUAACCGUUUAGGCCGGUCAAAGUUACCGUUGGGCCAAUUUUCAAAUAAACGGUUAGCCGUUUAUUCUUACCCUUUCGCCGUUAAUUUCCAGAGACCUGCAAAACAAAUUUGGUUUAACCGUUCUUAUUAAACGGUUCAAGGUUAACAAUCUGGAAAUAAUCGGUUAACCGUUUUCAGUAAACGGUUCACCGUUAGUUUCCAGAAUCAUCAUUUUAAUAAUACUUUACAGAACAUGCUUUCUGGAAAUUAUCGGUUAGCCGUUUUAAAUAAACGGUUAGCCGUUUGCUACAGUGAUUGCUACAGUGAAAAUAUUUUCUAAAUUUAUAAUUUAACCCCAAAACUUUAUAAAACUUUAUUACGGCCCAAAACGUUAUGAAACUUUGCACAUAGGUCCAAUUUCAGAAUUUCUAAAUAAUACUUUGUUAAUCCCAAAACUUUUUGAAAUUAUGGUAUAGCCCAAAAUGUUAUGAUACUUUUCAAAUAAGUCCUUUACCAAGAUUUCAAGCAAUACUUGUUUAUUUCAAAGUUUUCAAAAUUCUUUCAAUUAAACCAUAAACUUUGAAAAACAACCAAUUUCAUAAAAUCAUUUUUCCAUUAAAUAUGAAACAUUUAUAAUGUGAAAAUAAUGAUUUAUUUAAAAAGAAUAAAAACAAUCAAUUUCAUAAAAUUAUUUUUCCAUUAAAUAUAAAACAUUUAUAAUGUGAAAAUAAUGAUUUAUUUAAAAAGAAUAUUAAAUAAUUUGAGCUUAAAAGAUUAAUCAUUCUUAAUCUUAUUUGUUAUCAUCAAAAUCAAUAUUAUGAAAAUAUAUAUGUUAACAGUUUACUUUGGCGGCCCCCAGUCUUGUCAAUCAGAGAAUAUGUUUUGGCCGAAAUUCACAAUUCUUACCACGUGAUUUAAUUAAAGCACACAGAAUUCGUAAUUUUCUCCAGACAAUUUAAAUUAAACCCGCACUCUUUAUGGACUCCACUUUUAAGAAGGAUAUUGCCCACCGAGCAAACUAACCAAAACUCUUUUCCCUUCUGCGUUCAUUCUCCAACUCGUUGUCACUUUGUUUUGCUCUUCCUCUCUAUAUGAUUUUUAAGAACUAUUAAAUGUUUGUUUGUUUCUUAAAAAAAAUGUUUGUUUUUUUUUGUAUUAGAUGAUUAUAAAUAUUUAUUUAAUUUUAUAUUUUUUUAAAUUUUUUAUUAUUGUUUCAUUAUUUUUUAGUAAAUUUUUAAAAAUUAAAUAAAUUAUUUUUAUUUCUGUUAAUAAAAAUUUAAACUUUAAAUUUUUGAGGGAUGAGAUUUAUUUUUUUUAAAUAUUAAAAUACUUAAAAUAUCUUUUAUUUAUGUAAUAAUUUUAUUUUAUUUUUUUGUUAAAUAAUUUUAAAAAAAAUUAUUUAUUAAAAUAAUUUUAUAAUUUUUAAUAAAAACUCUUAUUAUCAAUUAAAUAACUAAAAUUAUUUUCAUAAAAACUUUUAUAAUAAAAAUCCUACCACACCGCAGAGUCUGCACUUACCUGCGCGUACUGUUUAAAACCCCUCACCGGCUCUGCUCUCGCCACCAAUAUUAAGAAAGAUACUUUGUUGUGGUGGCAUUUUGGUAAAAAAUAUGGGCCCCCAAAAUAAUCAUAAUAAUUAAGGAUUUAGCUAUGUGGCAACGGGUACACCAUACACUUUUUUUUUUUUUUUUUUUGUGCUGCCACAGUUAGAUCCAACACAAAAGUAGUAUUAAGAGCAAGAUGUGUUUGUUUGUUUAUUAACAAUGCAAUCCCUAAUAUUUGUCAAAAAUUUUAAAAAGUUAAAGUUUAUAAAAUUUUGUGCCAAUAUUUUUUUCCCAAAUUCUCUUAGCACAAUUAAUUGUGUUAUGGUAUCCACUUUUGCAGGUUAUAAUCAAGAGAUCAGACAUGAUAGAUACAUAAAAAAUAAUAUAAAAUAAAAAAAUUUUGAAUUUUUGUUAAAGCUCUCAUUUCUAAUAAUUUGUUAAAAUAUUCUUUUACCUAAGAAAACAAACUCAUUGACAUAAUAAAAAGAGUUUUACUGAUAAAAUAAUAAUUAUUCAAUUAUUAGAAGUGCUACAGUUAGAUUUUUUUAAGUUGAAAAUGUAGAGAAGCAUGGAGGAGAAGAGGAGAAGAAGACACAUAAUAAAACAUAAAAAUUUUCAAUUUAUUUAUACCUGAAUUCCAUUGUAUGAUGAAUAGAUUGUAGGUACAAAAAUAUAUUUAUGUGAUUUUCUUUUAUAUAAAAAGUUCAAUUCAUUAUUGCUUAUAUGAUAUAGAGCAAAUUAAUCUUAAGGUAAUGAGAAAGUAGCUUCAAUGAGAAUGCCAAGCUUCUCUUAUUGAUUGUAAUUGAUUGAUUACAUAUUUAAUUAAAAAAAUUCAAAAGGACGUAGAGGUGAGGGUUUUGAAGAAAGAGAAAAAAGAAAUUACUUCAAUAAUUUGUAAAUACAGAAGAGAUUAGGGGGUCAAAAAAUACAAAAAGUAGGGUAUGGUGGACCCAUUGUACCGUAGCUCAACUCAAGCCAAUAAAUUAAUUGUUUUAUCCUAUAAAUAAAAAUUAAUGUUGUGUAUUUGCCUAUAACUUGAGGAGGUAAUAAAAGUCUUUCGUUAUACUCUACUGUUAGUUUCUCGCCUUUUAUUCCUCUGAAAUCUUUCAACAAAAAUGGGUGGCGUCAUCUCAACCUUCUUAUCAGCGGACACAAUUCGUCCAAUUUUAUCUUACGUUGGUGGAGAAGCUAAGUAUAUAUGGGGUCUAAAAGAUAAUCUUGAUGACUUGCAGACUCAGAAGGAGAAGUUGAUUGAGAAAAAAGAAGAUAUGCUGAAUGAGGUUGAGCUUGCUGAACAACGACCCCGAACCAGACGGACGAGAUCGGUGCAACGCUGGUUUGAAAGAGUGGAUCGAAGGGUAACUGAAGUUGAGAGGCUGCAACAAGAAAGAGAUCAAGAGAUUGACAGAUUGUGCCUUGGAGGCUUCUGUUCCAAGAACUUGAUCUCAAGCUACAGCUUCGGGAAAAGAGUGGAGAAGAUGAAGAACGAAGUGAUCGAAUUGAAGAAAGGAGGAGAAGCAAUCAAUCCACUUUAUGAGGAGGUACCAGAAGGUGCAGCGGUUGCAAUAGCUGUUGACCGAACAAUUGUCGGUCAAGAAUCAAUACUAGACCGAGUUUGGAGAUGCAUCACCGAUCAAGAACAGAAUAAGGGAAUUAUUGGCUUAUAUGGUAUGGGGGGCGUCGGCAAAACUACUCUGUUAAAGCAAGUCAAUAACAAAUUCUGCAGUGAUGAACAGCAUCAUUUUGGUGUCGUUAUCUGGUCGGUUGUGUCGAGAGAGCCAAACUUGAAGCAGAUUCAAGUGGAUAUUGGAAAAAGGAUAGGCUUCUCAACAGAUUCAUGGCAGAGAAAAAGUUUUGAAGAAAGGGCUUCAGACAUCACCAACGCUUUAAAGCAUAAGAAGUUUGUAUUGUUAUUGGAUGAUAUAUGGGAGUCCAAAAUUGAUUUAACCGAAUUGGGCGUCCCUCUUCAAAGAUUAGAUUCUGGGUCCAGAAUAGUUUUCACAACUCGUUUUCGUGGUACUUGUGGUGAAAUGGGAGCUGACGAGCGGUUCGAAGUGUCCUGUUUGGGAGAUGACGAUGCCUGGAAAUUUUUUGAGGGGGUGGUUGGGAGAUACGUUCUCGACAAGCAUCCCGACAUUCCGGAGCUAGCCAAAGCUAUGGCAAGGCAGUGUCAUGGUUUGCCGCUAGCACUCAAAACAGUAGGUAAUGCCAUGGCGAGCAAAGAGUACCCUCAAGAAUGGAGUCACGCCAUUGAGAUCAUAAGCAGAUCAGCUUCUAAAUUCAAAGAUAUGGAAAAACAGGUGCUUUCGCGUUUGAAGUUCAGCUAUGAUAGUUUGCCCACUGACGAACUUCGUUCUUGUCUCUUGUACUGUUGUUUAUUUCCGGAAGACUCUGAAAUUCCAAAAACCGACUUGAUGGAGUAUUGGAAAAGUGAAGGAUUUGUGGAUUCUAGCAGCGGGUGGGGGGUUCUUGGUGCUCUCCUUCGUGCAUGCUUAUUGGAGGAAGCAGGCUUAGUGGACGAAGGAGGUAAUCGUGUAAAAAUGCACGAUAUGAUUCGUGACAUGGCAUUAUGGAUAGCAAAUGAAAUAGAGGAGGAGGAGGAGAACUUCUUGAUUCGUGCAGGAGUUGGAUUAACUGACGCCCCAAAGAUUGAAGAAUGGGAAGGGGUCAAAAGGAUAUCCUUGAUGGAGAACAAAAUUCAAAGUCUACCACAAAUUCCCACUUGUCCGCGUCUCCAGACUUUGCUUCUAAAUCGAAAUCAUAUUGCGAAGAUCACUGACAGUUUCUUUCAAUCUUUGCCUUCGCUUAGAGUUUUGAAUCUAAGUGGAAAUCAUUACCUAACUGAACUACCUGUAGGAAUUUCAAGUUUGGUUUCAUUACACCAUCUUGAUCUGUCUUAUACUCCCCUAACUGAACUUCCUGUAGGGAUUUCAAGUUUGGUUUCAUUACACCAUCUUGAUCUGUCUUCUACUGAAGUACGUGGGUUGCCGCAAGAGCUCAAGGCAUUGGUGAAUCUGAGAUAUUUGAACUUGGAGUAUACACGUAAAAUGUCUAGAAUUCCAGAGCAAUUGAUAUCAAGCUUUCCAAAGUUACAGGUGCUCAGGAUGCUGAGUUGCGGUUCUGAGAUAUUUCCAAUAGUGGAAGAAGGCAACGUUCUAUCCGAUGGUGCUGAACCAUUGAUUAAGGAAAUCCACUGUUUGGAACAAUUAAAUCUCAUCACCUUGUCCUUACGUGGUACGCGUGGUGUUGAAAACUUUUUGAAAUUCCCAAAGCUGCAGAAUAUCACUCAAGCUCUGUCCAUCGAACACUGCAACAGUCUACCGCUCAAUUUGUUGCAUCUAUCAAACAUGGAGCAUCUUGAGAAGCUACACAUCGAGGAAAGUAAUUUGGAAGACUGGAAUGUCGACUGCGCAGGCGAGGUACAAAAAAUGCGUAAACUUCACUUUGUUACAAUAUACGAAUGCUCAAAUGUGAAGGACUUUACGUGGCUUGUUUUUGUUCCAAAUCUCAAGUGGCUACGAAUAUGUUAUUGUGAUGACAUGGAAGAAAUAAUCAGUGUUGAAAAAUUGAGUGAAGUUUCGGAGAUGAUGGGAGAGCUUAACUUGUUCUCAGAACUCGAACUUCUGGUAAUAAGAAAUGCAAGUAAUUUGGAGCGCAUCUACCGCGUUCCCUUGCCCUUUCCACAGCUGAAGGUAAUUGACAUAUCGGAAUGCCCAAAGUUGAAGAAGCUCCCGCUCAAUUCCAGCAGCGCAAAGGGACGUAAAAUUGUCAUUUACGGGGAGAAAGAAUGGUGGGAAGAGCUACAAUGGGAGGAUCAAGCCACUCAAAAUGCUUUCUCUCCCUGUUUCCUACCUGAUGAAUAAUAAAGUGCAAUAAGGCGCAAAAGUGUGAAUAAAAUUUCUGCGUGUGCUUAAUGUUAGGCACUAUUAUUCAGGCUUAAAUAAUAACAAUAAAAUACUACACCGUGUCUGCUUUCUUUUACUUUUCUUGGUUCUGUUGUAAAAUUCAGUUCUAUUUGAAGGAAAUUAUUAACAUCAAAACUAAAUACUUCGUGAGCAUCUACUGACAACAUACUCCAGAUGACACCAUAACCAUAUCAUAUAAAGCAAGAAAUGUGAAAUAAAUACAAAAUGAAUCACAGGAGGAAAUCACCACACUCUGCGGUCUCUCCUGCUAAACCCUGCAGUUAGAAUGCCAUUUGUCGUGAGCACCUGAAUCCCCAAAGGACUCCCAGCUUCAAGUGGCUUUGACUUAGCUUGCUUUAGCUCCAUUGCACAUACUCACUCACAUGGAGGAAAUGAACAGAACAAGAAACCUCAUCAAGCCGAAUAUGAUAGAUAUGACAAGGCAUUACACUGUAGGAAGCUCCCGAUUUCUCUAAAAAACUUUGCAGGUUCUCCGCAAUCAAGGCGUGCUCCAUCUUUAACAGAUCACUUCUACCAUUAAGAGAAGGGAGAGAGUUCCUCUCGUGUGACAGUAAAUCCUUACUUAACACAGGAUUGGAGCCAACCAAGAAGGGAAGGCAAUUUCGUUAGAUUAAGAACCGAAUCACCAUCCAAAAUAGUAGCAUUUGAACCAGAACUCUUGUUAAAUUCUUGAAAUCUCCUGCUUUCAUCAGUCUGUAAGAGAAAUGAAGAUGAGAAUAAUAGCCAGAACCGGAUUAAAUUCAAUCUGGUCUUUUGAAGACUUCUAUAACAACUAAGAGAACCCAGUGUACCGCCUACAGAUACUGUCAGGCUUCUAUCAAAUAUCCCAAACACCAAAAACAAACCAAAUUAAGCUAACAAACCUGCAUGAAUAUCUAAAUUUCAAUGCACAUGAAACAAACUCCGUCUUCAAUCCACCAAAACUAGCAAAUUUCAAACUUUAUCCCUCAUCACUCUCUCUCUGUCAGCUGUAUGAGGCUACGAGAUCAUGUUAUAAUGUUCAUAUUGAUGCUGAAUGUUUUGCCAGCUUGUCUGAAUUCCAUAAGAGAAUGCAAUUUGCACAUUAUUGUGCCUUGCCCACCAUUAGAUUCUAAACCACAAAAUCAUUGUGUGAGUAGCUGACGUUUCGCACAUUCUUAUCCCUUAUCAUCAAUAUUCUUCUCCUCAAGCUUAGAUCAUGGAAAUUUGAGUGACAAACAUGAUAACAUGGUAACACCAUCUAAACUUUAGGGGCAUAAAGUAACAUAGAAGCAACAUGGGAUGUUUUAAAAUCUAUUAUAAUUUGCUUAGGCCCCUGAAUAAAAUUAAAACUUGAAAUGAAAUAAAGUAGCAAAAUAAAGAUUGGAGGUCGCAUGCUUGAUAUUUGAUGCUGUCAAAAUUAAUUUGCAGUGCUGAAAUUGCUGCUCCAAUAAAUUUUUCAAUGGGAUUUCUAUAUUUACAACAAAUUUUCAGUAUUGAAACAGGAUUAAAAUCAUAAAGUGUCUUUUAAACAGCAGAGGCAACAAGAUCCUACAGAAAAAGAAGGCAAAAAGUAGUUACAAGCUACAGAAACGCAAAUAUUCUACUGGCCCACUCCCACUAAAUUCGAAGCGAUUCUAAAAUCUCAGCUUGUACUACUACAUCAUUCCUUCUAUGUGGCCCAACUGUACUUCACCCAGAAAUCACAUUUCUUCAUCAGAGAUAAUUUUACUUCUAAUCAGAGAUUAUUUUUUAUAUGCAUGGCUUUACAGUAAUGAAUAAUUUUCCUUAAAUCUUUUCUAACAGACAAGAAAGCACAAAGCACAAAAAUUCAUAUAAACAACUUUUCUCGAAGCUUUUUCAUAAGAAAACCUGAACAUGAUUGCUUCUCUUAGAAGGCCCCCUAGCUUCCUGCAAGAACCUGGUGUUCCAAAAAAAAAUGAUUAUAAUUAGGCAUAAGGUCCUAAUGUUCUUGCAGGAAUUAUGAUGAAUAUCAGGGUUUCAAAAAAAAAAAAAUUAAGACAACGAUUACGGAUUUAAAGCACACAGAAUUUACACUUUUCUCCAUGUGAUUUAAAAGCACACAGAAUUCUCCUGACCUUAAUUGAAAUCCAAUAUUGUAGACUCAUUGUUGUAGCUAGAAAAUCAUAUUAAUAGAGUAAAAUUUAUAAAUAAUCAAAGAAAAGAGUUCACGCUCUUACUUCAUUACUUUUAUAAUCUUAUUAGUAUAUCAACUUACAUGUCUUCAGAAAAUACAGUUUUAAGGGGAUAUUUUUAUGGUUGUAGAUAUUUUUAUUUUUCUUCUUAAUAAUAGAUUUAAUUUUCAUAUUUCUAAUGUUAAGUUGCAGAUUUGGACUAAAUCAGAUUAAAUUUCAAAUUAGAUCACCGACCUUAUUUUAAUAGGUUCAAUUGGAUUUUGGACAUCUAAUUAAACAACUGGAAUAAUAAAUUGCAAAUGAAUGAGAUUUAUAUGUGAUUUUAAAAUAAAAUUUGAACUCAAAUCUAUGUAUUCAAUUAAUCCAACAGGACAAAUUUAUAAUUUCCACCAACUAAAUAAAAUAUGUUAUCAGAAACUUUUGGAUCAAGUCGGGGCAGUGUAUUACUUCGUGGGUCUGCUACUACUUAUAGUCCAUUCUCAUUUCAACUUUCACAUCUUUUAUAUUAUGUACAAAUUGGAUUAUAUUCUAAAAAAGUGUUUCUAAUUGUUUAACGUUUUAUUUCUGGGUAUAUUUAGAGAUUAAAAAAUAUGGGAAACAUAAUCAAUUUUAUCAAAUAAAAAGGAGUAUUGUUCAUUUUUUCAUAAACAAUGUGUUAAAAUACUUUUGGUUUUUAAGAAGUAACAAUUUUUAUUUUCAUAAAAUAGCAUUCAAAAUUAUAUUAAAUAAAAUUAAAGAUUAACAAAACUGACAUCUGAAUUUCGUGUAAAUUAUAAUAAGUUUGUCUCCAGCAUGAGUAACAUUAAAGCUUGGCUAGCAUCAUCAUAUUUUAUCUCCAGCAUCAAAAUUCUGAUAACAUCAACAUCAUAAUUCCAAGGUUGUCAAACUAAUCAUCUCAAAAUGUCAUUAUACUUAUAGCGUGCUGGCAUUAUCUUUACUUUCUGCAUCAAAAUUCUUUUAUUUAAUACACUUUUAUUUCAUACAAUUUUUUAUCAAAUUAAGAUCCUUUGUGAUCUAAACUCUCUUGAACUUUUAAAAAUCUUAUGCCACCUCUUCUUUAGUAAUAGUAAUAGUAAUAAUAUGAUUAUGAUUUAAUUAUUUUAUUUUUUAAUUUAUCAAACACCAAUCACUUAAAUUUAACUCAAGAAAAAAUUAGAACAUCAAAGAAUUUUAAUUGCUUCUUAUUAAGUACUAGAAUUAACUUCUCCCAAUGAUAAUUUAUUAAGCAGACCAUAAUGAUCAUCUUACGCUAAAGAACCAACCCAUCUUCAAAACACAAGAAUUUAGUACAAAUAAUUAUCCCAAUAAAGUUUAACGAAAAAGCAAAGAGAUAUUUUUAUUAUUUCUUUUACUUUCCUAGUGGCUCUGCUACUACCUAUAGGCUAUAGUCCAUUCUUAUUCAACAUUCAGAUCUUUUAUAUUAUAUGCAAAUUAAAAUAUAUUCUAAAAAGUGUAUCCAACUGGUUAACAUAUUAUUUCUAGAUAAUAAUCAAUUUUAUCAAAUAAAAAAGAGUUUUUGGUCAUUCAUUUGGCUCCGUUGCCACUUGUACGUUACAAAAGCUUUUGUCUAUGCUGACUCAGUUACUGUAAAAUGUCGUUCAGCCCCUUAUACUCUAUGUUAUUUAUAAUUUAUUUAUAAGAAUUAUGAAAAUUUCUACUUACCUACACUAUCAAAAUUCAAUUUAUCUCCUCACAAUCUUUUUCAUUUACUAUUUUUUUCUAAGUAUUAAAAGAGUUCUAUUUACAACCACGACAUAUUAAUCAUCAUAACACACAAAUAUUAAUAAAAAGAUAAAAAUAUCCUUAAAUUAAUACUAAAAAUGCUUUCCUCUCUUCUUUAUAAUAUCAUAUUAUAAUAAUUAAUACUUUCAUGAUAAAAGAAUUAAAAAAAUAAAAAUAAAUUCCCUUUGAAUCCAUCCCUCUCUAAUAUCAUUUUCUCUUCAUUAGGAACAUUUAUCGACAAUUGAAGCCACCAUCAGACUCAUCACACAGAGAGAGUGAGAGAGGGGAAGAAGAAACAGAGAAAAAAUAUAUGAGACAUUUACAAUUUUAUAGUGUGUUUAUUCAACGGGAUUUAUAUAUAGUUGCUAAGGGGUUUCAUCAGACACAAGGAGUUGAUUACACUGAAACUUUUAGUCUAGUAGUUAAGGCUUCAACAGUCAAAGUUAUUCUUAGCCUAACAGUACUUAACAAGUGAAUAAGCAGACAAGUGGAUGUUAAUAAUGUCUUCCCCUAGCAGUACUUAACAAAUGAAUAAUCAGACAAGUGGAUGUUAACAAUGCCUUCCUUAAUGGCAUUUCAGUUGAAGAAGUUUACAUGGCACAACCUGAGGGGUUUGUGGAUCCUACUAAACCCCAACACAUCUGCAAAUUAAAAAGGACUAUAUAUGGCUUGAAGCAAGCUCCCAGGCUUGGUUUGACAAAUUCAAAGCUGCAAUGAUUACUCAAUGGCAUUUUCAACACUCAAAAUCAGAUAAGUCUCUCUUCUAUAAAUGGAUCAAUGGUCAUGUAAUUCUAGUUCUGGUUUAUGUUGAUGAUAUCAUACUCACUGGUUCAAAUUCUUACUUAAUUCAGCCAGUCAUUCAAGACAUGCAUCACACCUUUGCUUUAAAAGACUUGGGAGCUCUUAACUAUUCUCUAAGAAUUGAAGUGGUUAAAUUAGCAAAUGGCAUUUAUCUGUCUCAAGCAAAAUAUAUUGCUAAUAUAUUGGCAAACAUGAUAUGGUUCACUGCAGUCCAUUACAUAUUCCUAUGUCUACCAGUCACUACCUCACAAAAGAUUCAAGUGACAUUAUUGCAAAUGUGUCUCAGUACAGAAGUAUCUUAGGUGCAUUGCAAUAUGUUACUCUUACAAGGCUUGACAUAACAUAUAUAGUUAAUAAACUAAGUUAGUUUUUAUUUAGUCCUCGAACACAACAUUGGGAGGCUCGCAAAAGGUUGCUAAGGUACUUAAAAAGAAUUUUACAUCUUCGAUUGCAUUAUUACACAAAUGGAGCUAUGCAGAUACAUUAUUUCAUAGAUUCUAAUUGGGCAUGUGAUAGGGAUGACAGGAAAUCACUUGCUAGUUUUGCAGUCUAUCUAGGUCCCAAUUUAGUCUCAUGGUCAUCCAAGAAACAAGCAGUGGUAUCAAGGUCAAGUAUAGAAGCAGAAUAUAGAGCAUUAGCUCAUGCUACUUCAGAGGUCAUGUGGAUACAAUCUCUUCUUAGUGAGUUGCAAAUUAAACUUAGCACCACUCCCAUAAUAUGGUGUGAUAAUCAAGAAGCUAUUGCCUUAGCAUACAAUCCAUUUUAUUAUGCCAAAACCAAACAUGUUGAGCUAGAUAUACACUUCAUUCGAGACAAAGUUGUAGCUAAGAGCAUUGAGGUUAGUUAUGUGCCCAGUGAAGGUCAACCAACUGAUGUAUUAACCAAAGCUCUCACUUUUAAGCAGUUUCAUUGCUUGUGAAGCAAGCUGAAUGUCUAUCCUGGACAUUUUAGCUUGAGGAGGGAUGUUAGUGAUAUUGAAUUUCAAGCAAAGCAGAGCACAAAAUCAUUAUAUGACUGACCACAACUGAUUCACUCAUUAAGCUAACUUGGCAAGUUAGUUAUACAGCUCACCUCACAUGUAUCAAAUUUCGCGUGUGUAUAACAGAUUGUAUGAAUCAUUUAGCUUGCUAUAUAAAUAUGUAAUGUGUACUCAGUUUUCAAUUAGUUAAUUACAAAGGAAUCUUAUAUUUGCUUCUAUACAAAUUCUCUUUACUUUUCUUUCAUUUUCUUGCCAAACAACACUUUCUUUAGAAUUCUUUCAUGAAAGGCAAUGAGACAAAAAUGUAAAGAAGAAGAAAUUGAAGAUAGGGUAGGGCUAUUGGCUCUCUAAAAUUUAUUUUGGACAUUGAUGUGAUCUUUAAAAAAAAAUUACAUAAUUUUAUUCUUAGGUUAUGUUUAUCUCUUUGAGUUGUUAUCAUAGUUCAUUUUGAUUAAAUAAAAGUAGUUGUUGUAUUAACAUAAUUCUAAUGAACAUAGGUUUUAUUGUGCUUUUAAUCUUUAGGUCCAACUUCUGUAAGAUAGUAUUUAAACCAGCAUCAAUGUCAAUAAUAGCAGGCUGAAAUGUUUCUUUUGGAGACUGAAUAGUUGUAUUGGGAGAUAUGUCCCUCAAAGUACCAAAAACAUAUUUAUUAAAGCUUAGUUUCCUUGAAUUUGCCCAUUUAUCACUUGUUCUUUUUAUUUUGUUUGAUUUCCUGUUGUAAUAAUUUGUGUCUGUAAGACUAUAACAGACACUCACAUUUUAAUAGUUCUUUAUAUCACUAAAUUAACCUUAAUGUAAAAUUAACCGUAAUGUAAUUUACUAUUAAGGACAAUUUAAUAAAAUAUAGUUCAAUAAAUUUUUAUCCAACAUCUUAUUUUAUCUACAAUAAACUAGAUAAACAAUGAAGAAAUGAAUAAAAGUUCACGUGAAAACGAUGUCUAUACUUAUGGGCUAAACCUUUUUUUUUCAGUUUUUUUGUUAAUAGAAUUGUUAGGAAAACAUCAUGUAACACGUUCCAUCUUUUGUAACAAAAGGAAUUAAAAACAGAGGUGGAGGAAGAACAAUAAAUUGCACCACUACAACAUAUGAAAAACGAAAGAAAUCAAAGGAUAAAAUCUGUUUCAAAUUUGUUUUCUGAUCUUCACUCAAUCUAAUCUGCAUGCUUUCAUGGAUUUGAAAAACAAAAUUGAAUUGCGACAUUAAAGAGAAGAACAAACAUAUGUCAAACCAUAUUAUGAAAGCAAAAUAAAAGUUGAUAAAAAAUGAAAAAAAGUUCAAACAUUUUGUUUGUGAUGAUGAAUAUUUUAUUAGAUGUAAAGAGGAAAUAAGAUAAUUAAAGAAAUGGGUAAUGAGAACAAUAAAGGAAGUCGAAAAAUAUUUCAAAUACAAAUUAAUAUUUUGAAAUUAUUAAUUGAGUGUUCAAAAUAAAUUUUAGAAUGUAAGAAGUGCAUCGCUGCCCAUUUCUUUGAUGAACCCAGUAGAAACAGCUUUAAAAUUAUAGAAACUGUAAAACGCUGUAAAAGUGAAAACUUUAAAAAGCUUGCUCUAGUAUUUAAACCUUUAAUAGUGCAAAGUCACAAGUCUUGCAGCUAGUUGAUAUAUCCCCAAGCUAAAAACAUGUGUUGUAUACUCAUUUUUUAUAGUGAUACUAGAACUAUUAUUAUCUUAUGUCUAUGUACGUAUGUUUACAAUUUAUUUCAUAAAUUUACUGAGACAAGUGCCGAAAUUUAUGGCGAAGUACGUCCAAUCUAUUGUCACUAAGGCCCUAUUUGGUAUUUAGAUAAUGUAGUUUUUGUGAAAAAAAAUAAUGUAAUUAAGAAAUAAAAAUUAAUAAUAUAUAGUAAUAUGACUUGUAAAUAAUAAUUUGAAAAAAAUAAUAAAGAAUUAUAAGUUUUUUCAAAAUAAAAGUGGUGGAUCAAAUUAAUUUAGCUUUCAAGUCAUAGCAAGUAGUGUUUAUCAAAUAUAAAAAGUUAUAAUUAUCCAAUCUCAAUCAGAACCUGAGCAUUUUUAGCAAAAACAAUACUUUUAUUCUAUAUUUUACAAAUAUCUUCACCAUUAUUCAGAGCACCAACCCUUAACUUUUUUCGAUUAUGUUUGGUAUAACUUUUUAAGCAGAACUUUUACUAAAAAAAAUAAUUGUUUGAUUGUCAAUGAGAUUUUUUAUUAAAAUUUCUAGAAUUACUUUAAUAGGCAAAUUUCUUAAAGUUAUGUUAUGAAAUGAAUAAAAUAAAAUUGUGAAAUAUAUAAAGCAUAUUUUAGACAAUAUAAUAUUUUUAAAAAAUUUUAACCUCUACUCCACAAAAUUUAAAAUUUAAACUUUUAUUAGUACAAAUAAAAUAAUUUAUUUAAUUUUUUAAAAAUUUUACUCAAAUUAUAAUUAAAUAAUAUUAAGUCUUAAAAAAAAGUUAUAAGAUUAAAUAAAUAUAUUUGACUGAACAUACACUAACUUGAACUCUUGAAAAAUAAAUAUUUUGCGCCACAUAAGUAGGGUCCAAUUAUGUUGCAACUGAUGUAUUAUACCAGAGUUCCUCUUUUUUUCCCCGUAUUAUUGGAUAAUUGAUGCAAAUUAAGCAAAGUUGUUGGGUGCUUCUCGUUCAAUCUAGCAGUUGAAAUUAAUUAUUGGAUAAUUGAUGCAGCGACUAGCAACCGUUGCAGCCGGUUGUAUAUUAAUUUAAUAGCAGUUCAGCGAGCGUGGGUUUCGAAAAUUUGUUAGUGCUGAUUAGAGUCUCACUGAUUUCAUCUGAAAAUUGAUCUCGAGACAUCAAUUAAGACAUAAAAUUAGAAUUAGGGGAUCGCAGUUUUUUUGGGAAUUAAAAUUUCCCUAUGAUUCAUACAUGAAUAUGGCCUCUCACUUGUAGGGAAUUGACGGUGAAAUUAUAAUCGUCACAGCAGAAUGCAAUCAAAAGUUACGGUGCUAAAAGUUUAGGCAUAUAUCAAAUUAGAGUGAAUCUCGCAUCACUUUGAUUUGGUCUUAUGCCGAUCGAAUCACCUGAUGCAGUAUGUAAUUCCUUAUUAAAACUUGCAAUUUUUUAUUUUGAAAAGAUUUAAAAUUUGUAAUUUCAUUACAGAAAUGAGGCGGGGGCUCACAAACAGAAAGCUAGCGAUUUAAAGAGCCACAGUCAAGCUUUAGAAGCCGAUGGUAACAUAGUUAGAACAAUAGAAUCUGAUAGCGUUAGGGAUUCAUAAGCUAUUUGUAAGUAUUUGUACUCCCUGACUAAAUAAUUUGGGAAUAUAAGGAUGCAAUAAGAGUUGAGUGGUCUUUAUUCCAAUAGCAUUAUUUUUUUCGAGCUUCAUCCGUGCUCUAUUCAAUCUUUAUGUGCCGCUUGUGUUAUGUUCCUGCAUAUCUAAUUACCUUUAGAUGCUAGUUGAUAUUUGACAAUUUUGCAGGUUAAGGAUAUUAGAUGGGAUGCAGAGCUUGGCAGUCAGAACAUGGAAUCACGGUUGGUUGAAUACUUUGUAGAUGAGUUUAAUAAACAAGUUGGUAAUUGGGUGAAGUGAGGAAGUCUCCCAAGGCCAUGGCUGAACUGAAGAAGCAAGUUAAAUAUACAAGAGCAAUUCUUUGUGCGAACACAAUGGAACCAAUAUCAGUUAUAUCUUUCCACGAUGAUAGGGACUUCAGAUAAGUGGAGUUAAAGUUCAGAUUUUACUGUUUGAGGUGCGUUUGAAGUUUAUUAACAAAAUUAAUGUGUUCUUUAAAUGAGUGAGGAACUGUAGAACAUGACAAGUAGAGUUUAUUGUGUGAGGGAUGCAUAUUCUCUUACAAGUGCUUUGUUCUUUAAUAUAGCACUAUAAGACAUCUUCUGAUGAAAAAUAGAGUCAAUAAAAUUACUCCAGACUGACUGGGCCGUUACGUUUUGGAUUCCAAUUCUUGCAUGAGAUUUCUUUUUCCUUUUUUUCUUUUUUCAAAUUUACUAGUGGUACUUUCAUUUGGUAAACUAUUCUAUACAUACAUAUAUAUAUAUAUAUAUAUAUAUAUAUAUAUACUCUAAUCAAUUAUAUUGGCUUAUUCUCCUUUUAUGUUGAUUCACGCUGCUGGUAUAGAUAAAAUUUAUUUAUUAGUUUUGGUGAAAAAUUUGUUUUGUUGCACACGGAUAGUAAACCCAAAUACAUUCAUAUGUGUUAGAGCAGCUCAUUAUGCUGAACAGAAGAAGGUGAAGACUAAGAUGAAGAAAAUACAGAGCAAGUUACAGGGCAAGUGUGUCAGCAGUGCCAGCUCAGCUAACAGCUCAGCAGAUUAGUUAAAGAUGGUUGUAAGCAUGAUGUGCAUUGUACUGAAGUUAGUUAGCUUUGAUUACAGUUAGUCUUUGGAUUAGUUAAAUGAAGUUACCGUGAUUGCAUUGUAUAUAAACAUGUGAUGCUUUGUAAAAAGGUUAAGCAAAAUAAAAAUCAAAGUUUGUUAAGGAAAUAUCUCCAGAAUUAUCAAUUCAUUUUCUUAGUAACCAAACAACUUUAUUUUCAUUUUCUUUCAUGGUAUCAGAGCCACUCUAAUGGCUAGUUCCAGUAGCACAACAUCAAAUCCAAAUCAAAUGAAUAUAAAUCAAUCAUCACAUAUCUCCUUUUCGUUCAGCACUCCAGUCAAAUUGGAUCGAUCAAAUUUCAUGAUUUGGCGAAAGCAAGUUCUUACUACAAUAAGAGGAAAUCGUCUUGAAGAUUUUAUUUCUGGAAAUCAAAUCAUACCAGAACAAUACAUUUCUAAUACAGUAGCUGAUGGAUCAGUACAGAGAAUCACGAAUCCAGCUUACAUCAACUGGCGAGCUCAGGAUCAAACUUUGCUUGGCUGGAUUUUGUCAUCCAUAAGUGAAGGUAUCUUAAAUACUGUUCUUAAUUGCGAAAAUUCAUUUGAAGCAUGGAGAUCAAUUGAAAAACAAUUUGGAGUACAAUCUGAGGCUAGAGUUAUGCAAUUGAGGUAUGAAAUGAAUGUCCUUAGAAAAGAGAAUAUGUCUAUUGAGGAGUACUGUUUAAAAGUAAAAGUUGUUGCUGAUAAGCUUGCUUGUGCUGGUAGCCCUGUGUCUGAGAAAGAUCUGCUAAUGCAAAUUUUGAAUGGCCUAGGACCUGGAUUUCUAGAUCUUGCUUCAAUAAUUACUGCUAAUAGAAUGUCGUAUGAUGAUGCUUAUGCAUUACUCUUAACACAUGAGGCAAGAAUGGAACAAAAUCAUAAUACUAAAGAUCUUUUUAGUGCAAACUAUGGGAUGAUGAAUGCUAACUACUCUCAGUUUAGAGGAAAUAAUAAGAGAGGUGGUUAUAGUGGAUAUCAAGGGCAAUUUAAUGCUGGAAAUAGGAAUCAAAAUGGAGGAAGAGGAAUGUUUUUCAAUUCAUUCUCAAGAGGUUUUCCAGCUGGUGGAUAUACUGGUAAUGCUGGUGGCAGAGGACAGCAAAUGAAUGCAUAUGCUUAUAAACCUGUGCUUAACAACAGGCAUAAUUUCAAUAUGAAUCAUGGCUCAACUUCAAUGUCCAAUGGAAAUGGAUCUGAUGAUAAUGUGCUUAUCUGUCAAAUCUGUCAUAAAGCUGGACAUGCAGCUGAUGUUUGUUGGCACAGACACUUUGAUGGCUAUGCUCCUCAACCCAGACAAUUUGGAAGGGGCAGAGGGCAUAAGUCUGCUUAUAUGGCUAACUUUGAUCCACAAAUUGGCUUUACUUCACAAUUUGAAGAUUCAUUUGCUACAGAAUAUCCUGGUUAUCAUGGGUACCAUCCACCUGAUAUGAAUGCAUCAGUUGCAUCAGUAAGUCAUCACUCAUCUGAUAUGCAUUCUGUACCUGGAGCAGCUUAUAUUGCAAAUUUUGAAGGACCAGCUGAUGAAGGGUGGUAUCUUGAUAGUGGAGCUACGCAUCACAUCACUAACAACAUGGCCAAUAUGCAUAUCAGAGAUCAAUUCACUGGAGCAGAUCAGCUCAUUAUUGGAAAUGGACAAGGUUUGCCCAUAACUCAUGUUGGUGAUGCAUCCUUUCUCUUUAAAAGUUCCAAUUCUACACACAAACACUCACCUAUAGUACUUAAAGAUAUUCUGUUGGUGCCUUCCAUUACCAAAAAUUUGUUAAGUAUCUCGAAGCUUACCACUGAUAACAACUUGUCUGUUGAAUUUCUUGGAAAUGUUUGUUUUGUGAAGGAUUCUCUGAGGGGACAGGUACUUCUGCAGGGUCUUGCUGAGAAAGGGUUAUACAGGCUGUUAUUGAAAUCAUCAUCAUCCUCUCAGUUAUCAUCAUCUUUUCUUUCUCACAUGUGUUCCAAUAAACCUUUGUCUAUGCUUUCUUGUUGUUGUUUCAAUUCUGUUCCUUCUGGAGUUGUUACAGAAUCUCAGAAAUCAUGUAAUCAAACUGAUGAUUCAUCUUGUAAAACUUCAGUUAAUAAAGCUAUUUUGCUUCAUAGAAAGUUUGGUCAUCCCAAUCAUCAAAUAUUAACUCAUAUACUCAAAACAGCAAAAUCUAUUCAUUUACCUGCAUAUCAAAAGCAACAAAUGCAUCAGUACAUCUGUGAGGCCUGUCAAAUGGGCAAAACACAUAAACUUCAUUUUCCAAUUACUGAAACCAAAACCUCCAAAACUCUAGAACUUAUACACACUGAUUUAUGGGGUCCUUCUCCCAUUAUUUCUAGAGAUGGUUAUCAGUAUUAUAUAAGUUUUGUAGAUGACUACAGCAGGUAUACAUGGAUUUAUCCUUUGAAGCUAAAGUCUGAGGCAUUAGAAGUCUUUAAGCUCUUUAAACUGCAGGUUGAAAAUCAGUUUAGCACAACCAUUAAGAUGAUGCAAUCUGAUUGGGGGGGAGAGUAUAGACCAUUCACUGAGUUUUUAAGCCAAUUUGGUAUCAUCUUUAGACAUCCUUGUCCUUACACUCAUCAUCAAAAUGGGUUAGUUGAAAGGAAGCAUAGACAUAUUGUUGAAUUGGGUCUGACUCUCUUAGCUCAAGCUCAACUUCCCUUUAAGUUCUGGUGGGAUGCAUUUCAUACUGCUGUAUAUCACAUCAACAGACUUCCAUCUCCUGUUUUGCACCUUUUAACCCCAUAUGAAAAGACAUUCAAACACAAACCUGAUUAUGAUUUUCUCAGAUGUUUUGGGUGUUCUUGUUAUCCUUACUUGAGAGAUUACAAUAAACAUAAAUUUGCCUACCAUUCUAGUAAGUGCAUAUUCAUUGGUUACAGUCCUUCACAUAAGGGCUACAAAUGUUUACACCCUUCAGGUCGAGUCUAUGUGGCAAGACAUGUUACCUUUGAUGAAUCAGUUUUUCCUUAUGCCACUGAGUUUGUUUUUCAUAGUCAUGCUAAAACUGAUUCUCAAAUUUCUCAUUCCCAUACACCACAGCAAAUCCAUCAUAUCUCUUCUUUGCCUGUCAAUAACAGCACUGGUAAUCUGAACUCUGUAAGAUCUGGAAGCAGCAGUUCAAGUCACUCAGAUCAUCUAGAACAGACAGCAACUGAUCAGAAUUCACAACAAGCUACCAUAAAUGACAGGUCACCUUUUCAUACAUGUCCAACAAUUGUUGAAUCUAUACAAAAUAUUCCAGAACCUCCACAUCACUCUUUGCCUAUACAAAGUCACCAUCCUAGCAACACUUCUUUCUAUCCAUAUACACAACCAAAUACACAUCAGAUGAUAACCAGAAGUAAAGCAGGGAUUUUCAAACCCAAAAUUUAUACUGCUGUGCUUACUCACAAGGAACCAGAUACUGUGCAAGAAGCAUUAAAUGAUUCAAAGUGGCUACAAGCUAUGAGGGAGGAAUAUGAUGCCUUGAUUAAGAAUAAUACAUGGACAUUGGUUCCAAGACAAGCUGAUCAGCAUGUGGUUGGAAAUAAAUGGGUGUAUAGAAUCAAAUAUAAUACAGAUGGAAGUGUAGCUACGUAUAAAGCUAGACUUGUUGCAAAGGGUUUUCAGCAAGUGGCAGGGAUUAACUAUUUUGAGACAUUUAGCCCAGUUGUGAAGUCAGCUACAGUUAGAGUAAUACUUAGCUUGGCAGUGAUGAAUCAGUGGAGAAUAAGGCAAGUGGACGUCAAUAAUGCCUUUUUGAAUGGAGAGCUAACAGAAGAAGUUUUCAUGUCUCAACCUGAUGGCUUUAUUGAUGCUCAGAGAUCUGAUUUUGUAUGCAAAUUACACAAGUCUCUGUAUGGGCUCAAGCAAGCUCCUAGAGCCUGGUAUGACAAGCUUAAAGGAUGCUUAAUAAGCUGGGGUUUCACUACUACUAGUUCUGACACCUCAUUGUUUGUUAGGAAGAUCAAGACAUCUAUGAUCAUAGUUCUUAUAUAUGUUGAUGACAUACUGAUCACAGGUCCAAAUACUGAGGAGCUGGAAGGUUUCAUAACUGAAUUCAGCAAAACUUUUGCUCUAAAGGAUCUGGGAGUGUUAUCUUAUUUCCUUGGAAUUGAGGUAUUAUAUGAUGCAGAUUGUAUGUACUUGUCACAGAGAAAGUAUAUCAGAGAUUUGUUAUCGAAGGUAGAAAUGACUGAAUGUAAGGGCAUUGAUACACCCAUGAGUACUGGCUCUAAACUGCAAAAGAUAGUUCAGGGGGAACUUGGAUACUAUCUUGAAGAUCCAACUCAUUAUAGGAGCAUAGUUGGAGGAAUGCAGUACCUGAUACUUACCAGACCUGAGAUUGCGUUUGCUGUAAACAAGCUCAGUCAGUAUGUAGCUGCACCAACACUACAACAUCUAAUGGCAUGCAAGAGAGUUCUAAGAUAUCUAAAGGCAACUCAAGAUUAUGGUUUAAAAUUUUUCAGAGAAGGAAGCUUAACACUCACUAGUUUUACUGAUGCAGAUUGGGCAUGUGACUUAGAUGAUAGGAAAUCAGUUGGUGCUUAUUGCAUUUAUUUAGGCAAUAAUUUGAUAUCCUGGUCUUCUAAGAAACAAUCAGUGAUAACCAGAUCAAGUGCCGAGAGUGAGUAUAGAGCUUUGGCAUCAGUGAGUGCAGAGCUGACAUGGUUACAAUCCUUAUUUUCUGAGUUGGGAUUAAGUUGCAUAGAAAAGCCAAUCAUAUGGUGUGACAACAUUAGUGCCACUGAACUAGCAAAGAAUCCUGUGUAUCAUUCAAGAACAAAGCAUAUCGAAAUUGAUAUGCACUUCAUUAGGAAUAAGGUUCUUGCUGGUGAGUUGAUUAUUCACUAUGUACCAAGUGAAGAACAGAUUGCAGACAUAAUGACCAAGCCUCUUUCAUUUGUAAGGUUUAACUACUUGAGGUCCAAACUCAAUGUCCAUCUUUGUCCUCUGAGUUUGAGGGGGGCUGUUAGAGCAACUCAUUAUGCUGAACAGAAGAAGGUGAAGACUAAGAUGAAGAAAAUACAGAGCAAGUUACAAGGCAAGUGUGUCAGCAGUGCCAGCUCAGCUAACAGCUCAGCAGAUUAGUUAAAGAUGGUUGUAAGCAUGAUGUGCAUUGUACUGAAGUUAGUUAGCUUUGAUUACAGUUAGUCUUUGGAUUAGUUAAAUGAAGUUACCGUGAUUGCAUACAGGUGAUGCUUUGUAAAAAGGUUAAGCAAAAUAAAAAUCAAAGUUUGUUAAGGAAGUAUCUCCAGAAUUAUCAAUUCAUUUUCUUAGUAACCAAACAACUUUAUUUUCAUUUUCUUUCAAUAUGGAUAUCUGGGGUUUGUUUUGUCUUUUAGGAGCAGCAUUACCUGUCGAAAGUUCAAAGAGCUCACUGAACUUAAGCAUUCGGGGUUGAAAAUGGACGAGAUAUAUGCAGUGGAGUUCAUUGGAGGAGCUACUAUAGUGCCAAAGUUGCAGGUUUGCAAUAUCCGCUUUGUUUUGGUAGUUAGCCCGAGUAUUAAAUUCUUGAGGCGUGUAAGGUAGUGGACUUUAGCCAAUUCAAGAGUAGAAUAUAAUAUGUUUACUUGUUUUGAUCUUAAUCUUUAAUCACUUACCCUGAAUAAGAAAUAAUUUUUUAUAUUUGCUCUGCUAUGAUGUUAUUCGGUGUUAAUAGCUUCGUUUUAUUGCUCUUUUCCGCACAAAUUCUUGAUCUCAAAAGAACUUUUAUUUUGAAUAUUCUGCGUAAGGACAAUCUGAUUUAAUACCAUCAGUGAUUUUUCAUUUUUUCUCUUUAGUUUUAAUAUGUUUGAUAACUGUAUGGUUAAGCAAUCUAUGCAAUUUUAUCUUGUCGUAUGUUUGAGCUCAUUUUUUGUUGCACUUCUGAAUAUUUGGUAUUAAUUAUGUGAUAUCGGACAAUACUAUUAACUUGUUAAUUGCUUAAAUCUAAUAUCUUGUCAAAGUCACUAAUAGCAUUUCAUCAUGCAAUGAGUUAAACAUGGAACAAAUGAUGACAUGCGGUUGUGGAAUGUGUUAGAUCUCUGGGAUUCUAUGUCCUUAUGCUUGCAGGGCAACACAAUACAUU
rnacentral:lncRNA from 1 species